rnacentral:lncRNA from 1 species
UUCAUGAUUAGCUUCCACCCUUAACAUACAUUUUGUAUCAUCAUUUACUACUCAGCCCAGUCUGAAAGAGUUAAGCCAUAACCUACCUCGAAAACCAAAAUCGGUCUGCUACACUUUGAACCCACGACCUUACUUUUCACGAACAAUAUUGAGCUCUACUUAAAACAAUAAAUAUGAAAUCUACGCGUCAAAAUAAAACCAAAGACACCUAUAUUGACUACUUUUGGUUCGGGAUCAAAACGGACCCCUGGAACGAAUUUUCGAAAAAGAAGGGCAAACUCAAAAUUUUACUUUAAAAACUUGUUUUUUCAUAUUUUUAGGAACCUACAGCUGAAAACUCAAGUUAAAUCGAGUAAAAGACAAGGUUCAAAUUGAAGAAAAACUAUUUUUGAGGUUUACUGGGUAAAUUCUUUGAAAUCUGGGUUGAAAUGAAGAAUCGAAGUUGUUUUGAAGGUUAAAUUGAUAAAAAAUUAGUAAUUAUAAGAUAAAAACAUUAUUCAAGUGAAAAGGAGUGAAAUUGAGGUUUAAAAUCAAGCCCCAAAAUUUUUGGGGUUUUGAGAAAUUAAUCAAGAAAUUACUAAGAAAAGGGUAAAUUCUUACCUUAAAUCCGUAAUAAAACCAAGAAAUGGGUGUUAAUUUAGCUUCCCAAGCUCUUACAAACUCUACUUUUAAUCUCUCACACUAUUUUAGGGUUUAACUCUCAAGAGCCAAGAUGAGAAUGAGAAAAUGGGUCAAAACGGCUGAAAAAAAACUGUUAUAUAGCAGAAAAUCUGCUACAAUAGUGAAGAUUUUUCUUUUCCAAGUCCAAACAAACUUCGAUGGGGAGCCCGGGAUUCGUUUGGAGUACGAUAUACACAAACGAACUAUGCAACCAUACUAAAUUUGAUGUUUCGUCCACGAUGGUGAUAUCAGAUUUUCAAAAAAAUAUCAUUUUCACAAAGUUGUUCCCCGAAAUUCAAAAUCACAAUUUUCCAAACUGAGGGUCGAAAUGAGAUUUAAAAGUCGUAAAAUCAUACCAAAUAUGCUAACACCCUAAAAUCAACAUUCCGGAUCUGCUGGUGAAGUCAAAUUUUCCAUUCGAGGUCAUUUCAAUCAAAUGUGGGUCCCACACCCAUAUUUUUAAUUUUUCAACUUUUCGACUAAUAGGUCGAAAUGAGCUCAGGUGCACUGGGACCGAACCAAAGGUCUACCUAGACUAAAAUCGAUAUUCCGAAGCUGGUAGCACAGUCCGUUCGUCUAUCCAUCGCACGGAUCAAAAGAUAUCUAUAUAAGUCCAAAAUAUGACUCUCGAAGCUAUCAAAAACCACAAUAUUGCAUAAAUGAUACCAAAAUGCAUCGAAAAUCUUGUCAAUCACUCCCACACUCUAGAAAUACCAUAAUGCAGCUAUGGAGAGGGUUAAAACAGUCAAAUCACACAAAAUUACAAAUUUCACACAUUUCAUCAAAUUUUUAAGUCGUUAAAUCAUCCACCACUAAAAAUCUAGUUCAUUCUCGAACUAAGGCAAAGAAAUACCUGAAUCAAUGAAGAGCUUAUGAUAAGAACUACAUAAAUCAGACUCGACCUCCCAAGUAGCUUCAUCUACAGGUCGAUGUCACCACUGGACCUUAACCACAAGGAUCACUCUAGAGCAUAACCGCCUAACAUCUCUAGCCAAAAUGGAGAUCGUCUCCUCAAAAAAUGACAAUUGCUCAUCUAGCUGAACUGACUCCCAACGAAUAAUAUGAGACUUAUCCGAAUAUAGCGACGAAGCAUAGAAACAUGAAAAACUGGAUAAACAGCUGAUAGAUCAGGGGGCAAAGACAACUCAUAAGCCACAUCACCAAUAGUCCGAAGAAUCUCAAAUGGACCAAUAUACUUGGGGCAAAGCUUGCCCUUCUUCCCAAACCUCAUCACACCCUUCAUAGGUGAAACUUAAAGGAAAACAUGAUAACCAACACCAAAUAUCAAGGCAUAAAGUCUACGAUCAGCAUAACACUUCUGCCUACUCUGAGCCACUCUAAGUCUAUCCUGAAUGACCUGGACUCUAUCUAAAGACUCACGAAGCAAGUCCGUACCUUGAGGUAUCACCUCUGAAGCAUCGAACCAGCCUACUAGGGAGCAACAACGCCUACCAUACAACGCCUCAAAAGGAGCCAUAUCAAUACUAGAAUGGUAGCUAUUAUUAUAUACAAACUCUGCUAAAGCCAAAUGCUGCUCCCAUUGGCCACCAAAAUCCAUCACACAUGUGUGAAACAUAUCCAAAACUUGGAUAGUUCGCUCUGACUGACCAUCAGUCUGGGGGUAAAAUAUUAUGCUAAGAUCAGCCCGAGUACCCAACUCUUCUUGAAAAGUCUUCUAAAAGUGAAAUGUGAACACAUAACCUCGAUCUGAAAUAAUGGACAGCAACAUACUAUGUAGAUGCAUAAUCUCACGAAUAUAGAUACGGGCCAACCUCUCAGCACUGAAUGAGACUUGAACCAAAAUAAAAUAAGCUGACUUGGUCAAUCGAUCCACGAUGACCCAAACACUGUCAGAGCCAUGAGAUAUACGAGGCAAACUAGUCAAAAAGUCCAUAAUGAUCCAUUCCCACUUCCACUCAGGAAUGGGUAACCUAGAAAGGAAUCCACCAGGUCUUAUAUAUUCGGCCUUCACCUACUGACAACAUAGGUAACGAGCCACAAAAUCUGCUAUAUAUCGCCUUAUACCACCCCACCAGAAGUGUUGUCUCAAAUUAUGAUACAUCUUAGUCACACUUGGAUGAAUAUAAUAUCUUGAAUAAUAGGUCUCCUACAAGAUCAACCUGUUCCAAUCACCCAUUCUUAGUACAAAAACUCGGCCUCCAAUCUGCAAAUCUCUAUCUAAAUCAAGUGAGGCUUUCUUAGCCUCCUUACUUAACACCUAAUCUCGAAUCAAUCUUAAUCCAACAUUAUCAAAUUAAUGAGCUCGAAUCUGCCCCAUCAAAGAAGAUCUAGCAUCCAAAAAUGCCAAAACACGCCCCGAUGUCAAAAUAUCAAGCCUAGCCAUCUGGUUAGCCAAAAACUGAACCUCUAAGUCCAAAGGCCUCUCCUAGGUCAAAAUAUACGCCAAGCUACCCAUGCUAGUCGACUUCCGGCUCAAGUCAUCUGCAACUACAUUAGGCUUACCCAAAUGAUAGAGAAUAGUCAAGUCAUAAUCCUUAAGUAACUUAAUCCAAUGAUGCUGCUUCAUAUUAAGAUCUCGCUGGGUGAAGAAGUACUAAAGGCUAUGAUGAUAUGAGAAGAUCUCACAAAAGACUCCACACAAGUAGUGCCUCCACAACUUUAAGGCAAACACUACUGCGCACAACUCCAAAUCAUGGGUAGGAUAAUUUCUCUCAUGAGGUUUCAACUGACGAGAUGUAUACAUAAUUACCUUUCCCUCUCGCAUCAACAUAGCACCUAAUCCAACACCUGAAGCACCACAAAAGAUGGUAAAGACUACGCCCUCUUUGGGCAAAGACAAUAUAGGAGCUGAAGUCAACAAAUCCUUAAGCUUCUGAAAGCUCGUCUCACAAGCAUCGGACCACUGAAAAGAAAUCUUCUUCUGGGUCAACUUAGUCAAUAGAGCUUCAAUGGAUGAAAAACCCACAACAAAACACCGAUAACAACCUACCAAACCAAUAAAACUUUGAAUCUCGGUGGGCGAAGUAGGUCUAGCCCAAUCAUGAACUGCUGCAACCUUGGUUGGAUCAACCAUAAUACCUUCCUUAGUCACCACAUGAUUCAACAAAAAAACUAGACUCCAACCAAAACUUACACUUAGAGAACUUCGCAUAUAACUUCUUAUCACUCAAUCUCUGAAGCACAAUACACAAAUGCUUCUCAUGCUCAACCUCACUCUUGGAAUACACCAAGAUAUCAUCUAUAAAUAUAAUAACAAAGGAGUUAAGAUACUGUCGAAAUACCCGAUUCAUCAACUCCAUAAAUGCGGCAGGGGCAUUGGUCAACCCAAAGGACAUGGCCAAGAACUCAUAAUGACCAUAUCGAGUACGAAAAACUAUUUUUGGAAUAUCCAAAGCUCUAAUCCACCUCAAAUAAAUCUUCGAAAACACCAUAGCAAUCUAAAGCUAAUCAAACAAAUCAUCGAUGCGAGAAAGAGAAUACUUAUUCUUAACUGUCACCUUAUUUAACUAUUGAUAAUUAAUACACAUUCACAUAGACUUAUCCUUUUUCUUCACAAACAAGUUAGGCGCACCCCAAGGUAAAACACUAGGUUGGAUAAAUCCCUUAUCCAACAACUCCUGCAAAAGAUCUUUCAGUUUUUUUAAUUUUGCUGGGGCCAUCCUAUAAGGAGGAAUAGAAAUGGCCUUGGUGCCUGCUCAACAUCAAUAGUGAAAUCAAUAUCUCGAUUCGAAGGCAUACCAGAUAAGUUCGUAGGGAAUACAUCCAUAAACUCAUGAACAACACGAACGAACUCUAACGAAGGAGGAAAAACAACACUGGUGUUAUUAAUAUGGGCCAAGUAAGAUAAAUAUCCCCUCUCAAUUAAUUUACGAGCCUGAACAUAAGAUAUAAUCCUCUUAGGACCUGAAUGAAGUGUACCAUUCUAAGCUAUCCUUGGCAUACCUGAUGAAGCUAAAGUUACAGUCUUAGCAAAAUAAUCUAAGACAGCAUGAUAAAGAGCCAACCAAUCCAUGCCUAAAAUAACAUCAAAAUCAACCAUAUCUAGCUCAAACAAGUCUACCGAAGUCUCACUCCCUGUAAAAGUCACAACACAAGAUCGGUACUCUCGAUCCUCUACUAAAGAAUUACCAAUCGGGGUAGAUACAGAAUAGGCAUGGCAAGAGGCUCACUAAUAGAAUCAAAAUCCAAAGCAAAAUAUACAGACACAUAGGAUAAAGUCCAUCAGGGAUCAAAUAAUACAGAUGCAGAUUUGAAAUAAAUUGGGAUGAUACGUGUAAUAAAAGCAUCAAAAACCAUUGCCUCAGGUCUGGCUGGUAUAGCACAACACUAUCCACGACUACCAAUUAGCUGAGUAGCCUCACGACCACCAACACGGGCUUUACCAUCUCUACAUUUCAUACCUUUGGUAGAACCCCUACCUUUAUCAUCUAAAAUAGGAGUAGCUCUAAACAUACGACGAGAAUAAUUAUCAUCCCAUACAUAGCAAUCUUUACGACUAGUCUCAACAGAAGAAAGUACAACUGAGCCCUGAACUACUGAACUAGAAAAUCCACCACCUGAACUCUGUAAAGCCACUUGCACUGGCUUACUAUAGUAUCCAUGAGAACCUCUAAAAUCUCUACCUCGAGAGGUCUGACUCCUGAACUCACCAAAAUAUUGCGCUUUCAUGGUGCUUCCUAGAGAUACACUUAGAAUACCUUUUGUUAUCUUAGCAUGAUCCAUAAUAUCCCCAAAAAAAGCCCCAAAUCACAACCACCUAAGAUGUAACCAAUUGAAAAGAGAUAUCCAAACCCUUUACAAAUUUUUGAAUCUUCUCAGACUCAAUGAAAAUGCUCUUAUAGGAAUAUCUGGACAGGGAAUGAAAGCAUGCUUCAUACCCAGCAGCUGUCAUGCUCCUGCUCUAAAUGAUUAAACUCGUCCCACAUACGAUCUCUCAAAUCGAAAGGAAAAAAUCUCUCCAGAAAAGCAUCAACAAACUUAUCCCAUGACAACUCAAAAGCAUCAACAGGCCUACACUCGAAAAAUAAUCUCCAUUAAUCUCUCAUAGCAUCUUUCAACUAAUAGUAGUAUAAGACACACCAUUCACGCAGAAAGAGUGAAACACAACUUAGAAUACAAGGUAUGAAAAAACUUUAUACGAUAAAAAAUAAAAUGAGAAAAUUUUACGAAAGAUGUCCUAUAGCCUCUCGAAGAUAGAUACAGACAUUUACGUACUAAUUCGUGAGACUCUAUUAGACAUCCCGUUCUUACACCAUUGAGACCAAUGAAACCUGGCUGCUUUGAUACCAAUUUGUCAUGAUUUAAAAAUAAGAGUCAUGAUGGCACUUAUCGCAGCGUACCAUGACAAGUAAGCCUAUCAUCCAAACUAAUAUAAAAAGUAGAAAGGAUAGAAAUAUCCUAAGGUAAGGUUUCUAGAACAAAGCCGAACCAUGUAAAAAAUCAUGACAAUGCAGAAAGGACUAUCUAAAAUACCGAUCAUGCCCAAAACUAGGUGUCAAUAGUGUAAGAACUACUAAUACAACCCAAGAGUCAAAUACAUCAGAAAAAUAACCACAAAGGUAUAAUAUUUGUCUUCUAAUACUAAUAAAGACAUAACUACUGUAGAAAUAUAAAGGUGAACUUCAAACGUAUGAAUGUCCAAUUGCUACCUUAGAAGCUCUAAUAAUCUCCCGAGUCAAUCAAGAUGAGGUGCACUCGAGCUAGGACCUGCACCAAAAGGGCUCAGUAGGAAUGAGUGCGGUCCACUUGUACUUAGUAGGUAUCAUAGGCCGACCAAGCAAAGUAGUAAAUAAACCAUAAAAAAUAUACAGUAAGGGCACGUUACCUGCAAUCAGAAAAUGUCCCACAAUAGUAGCCCACACCACUUGCACUAAUAGUUCUAAUAUAUCUUACAUAUAUUUCAACAUUACACCAAGAUAGAACAAAUGUAUGUAUUAUAUCACAUAUAAGAAGAAUAAGGAGGAAGAUGCAUAUACAAGAUCAUCAAAUACAAGUAAAAAAAGAUACGAAAAAUACAUAGAUGACAAAUCAAUAUGACAAUACAACACAACAUAACAUAAUAAAGUAAGUGCAAUGUAUAUGAUGAUGAUGAUAAUGAUGAUGUACAAGGUUGUGUACAACCUUCUGGAUCAUUGCACAAUCCCCGUAUACACCUACGGAGGCAAGCCUUCCAACGCAGGACCCAUGGGGGGUUCGUAUGAUACAAUCCAUAUAUAUCAUAUCUUCUUUCUGGAACAUCUCUCAGAAAGGUGUUAUUAGGUGUUGCUAGUGUUUCUCAGAUGUUGCCAUGGUGGUACCAAUGUUUCAUGAAUGAGUAUGAUAUGAAGAUGUAAUUCUCACAACUAAUAACAAUGAGUAUUUCUACAACCAACCACUUGAUAUAUUUUAAAAACUAACCACAUGAUAUAUUUCCAUAACUAUAAUACCCCAUACUUUUCUUUGUCCUAUUUAGCCACUAGUGUGUCACGGUCAACUUCAAAAGCAUAUAACUCUUGGUGCAUAUAUAAUUUUCCAGAUCUAUACCUAUCAAUGUGUAGAUAAUUGAAUCAGUUUUCCAAUGAUACCAAUUUCGCCUUAAUCCGACAUACGGUUGAGAAGUUGUGGCAAUUUUAGUGAAAGUAGUAUAACACCGCAAUAAGCACCGCGUCGCGGUAGUGGGAAGAAUUGCAAUUUUCUAAUUUCAAGAGGAGCACCACAAUUAGUAUGCAUCAUGGUGAAGAUCCAAUUCCCUUUCGUCCCUUUCUAGUAACUCAAUGCAAUUUGCCUGUAUCGCGUCAAAAUUCCUAAUUGGACAGACACCGCAUCGCGGUAGAGUGCAAAAUAGCACUCGUUUAUUUCUAGUGGCGCAACAUGAUAGCAUCGCAUCAUACGAGGGUCUAAUCGGGCUUGUCCAUUUUUAGUGACGCGAUGCGAUAGCGCCGCAUCGUGCCGAGGUGAAAAAUCAGGCUCCAGUUCUGAACUUAAGCUUUCAAGGGCAACUUAGUCUUUUCAAGACCCAAGUCAUGGAAAAUAGAAGAUUUAGGGUAUUUGGAGCAACAUAUACUUAUUAUUCAUCAAUUUUCUCUCCAAGGAAACCCUAGAGUUUCAAUUUUAAAUUCCAAAAAAACUUAAAUUCCUUUAUUUUUCCAAGAUAACCCAAACUUCAAGGUUCCCAAUUCAAAAACUUCAAGAAACAAUCUUCUAGAGCACAAAUAGGGAUUCAAAGUCAAGUGUCUUCAUCAAUUUCAUUAAUUAAGGUAUGUGGGGUUUUUCAACAAGGAUAAUCCUUUCAUCCUUGUGUCCAAAAUUAGUUUUAAGGUUGAUUUUGUAUGAAAUUACAUGAGCUUCAAAUUAGGGUUCAUACCCAGUAUUGCUAAUUGAAAGAUAAUGAGAUUUGAAGUAAUUUAGAUGAUUAAUUUGCAUGUUUAUUUUCAUAUUUUUAUGUGUAUUGCAGAAAUUUCCAGAUUUUGAGAUGAAUUAUCAAUACUUACAUUAUCAAGCAUAAACCUUAUGAUGUUUUGACAUGAAUUUGAUGCAUGGGUUGUUAAGCCCUAGUUUGUAUGAUGAUAUUUUGAGAUUGACUAUACUUUAAGCAUCUUAUGAUUAAUUAUUUUUAGAUUUUGAUAAAGAUUUGAUAUUUUGAUCUCAGCUUAGACAUAGAAUCCACUCUACAGUUUCAAUUACAGAAUAGAUUAACAGAUACAAAAUUAAUUUUCAUUAUAAACCUUUAUACUAGUUUUAAAAGUGGAUUUUCAACAGAAUGAGCAUACAAAUAAAAGGGAGUAGUAUUUAACACUGAGUUGGGUAUGUUCUCAUGCCCCAAAUCUAUAAGCCAACGUAGGAUUCAUAUUUAUUAGAUUAUUUUCAUUUCUAUAUGGAUGACAGAUACAUAUGUGAUCACUUAGAUUAGGUUAUACUCUUGACAAGAGUAUGACACCUUUUCCCAACAUGAGGUUUUCCCAUAAAGGAACUAGACGUUGGACACUAUGAUAGCUCACAUAGCGUAUCUCAGUUAGAAGAACCUCCCUAAUAGUAAAGACUUUCAGAAUAUUUUUAAAAAGUAUUUCCCUAUCGACUACAAACUACAGAUUUCAGAACAGAAUAAUCCUAACAGAAAAGCUCUUAGAAACUAAGUUUUAAGGCUCACAUCUUUAUUCAGACAUUAUUUUACAAAAUAUAUUAGCUAUGAGAUUUUAGAUUUUUAGAUUUCAGAUGCAGAAUUGAGUCCUUCUACACUUAGACAACAUGACUUAAAGAUAGAAUACCAGUACAAAUUUUAGAAACUAAAUGUUAAGACUCACUAGAUUUAUGCAGUAUGUUUUGCUAUUCAUGAUUAUGAUUUUCAGUCUUCAGAUAUUCCAGUUUAUGUGAGUCAUCUAUAUUUAGCAUAUAUUCUUUUUACAAAAAUUAUAGUACUAUUAAGAUAUUGUUUUACUUAUGCAUUCAACCCCACAUGCUCUGUACAUUCCAAAAGUACUGAUCCAUAUAUACGUCUAUGUGAUAUAUUGUCUCAUAAUGUAGGUACCCGUUCAGUUGUAGUCCAUCUAUCACGAUUAGACAGUUGCAGAUUCCAACCAGCAGAUGAUGAGUCCUCCUACUUCAAGGAUUUUUGUUAGGUGUUAUUUAUGUACUUUAAUUUCUUACUCAUAUGCAUUGAUUAGUAGUAGUUGGGGUCGCAUCCCUUCUAUCUAUAGUCAGUAUAGUAGAGGUUUCACAGAUGUCAGUUAGUGUCAGUCAUGUAAUUUCAAUUCUGCUCUUCAGUUUUAUCAGAAUGUAAAAUUUUAUUAGUAUUAUAUUUUUCUUAGAUUUCAUCAUGAUUAUAUUUUUGCAUAGUAAACUCAAUCAUUUUAUACAUAUUUAGAUUAGUUUCUUAAUAGUAUGCCAAUACAAGGGUUAGCUUGGGAUCACUUUUGGUCCUAAGCAUCGUAUGUCGACUAAGGGGUAGUCUUGGAUUAUUACAAUCUUGGUAUCAGAGCAUAAAGUUCAAGUGUCCUAGGGUGUCUAUGAAGCCGUGGUUAGUAGAGUCUUGCGGAAUGGAACAGAAGCGUCUGUACUUUUUUUUGAGAGGCUACAGGACAUUUAAGAAAAGUUUUCUUUCUUUCAUAUUCUAGGUCGUGUUGUAAAGUUGUUCUCUCAAAAACUCCUCUCGAUUCAUGCGUAACUCUAUAAUUCUCUAUUUGAGUAUUAUUCCUGAGAUAACAAUAUUAGCAAGUUUUAAUUCCUCCCAAGAUAAUUCUCUCAGAUUUACUAUCAGUAGAUUCAGAAGCUACACAAGGGGCUUAUGAGGAGCUCCCUAGUGUGUUAAGUUCCUUAAGUUGAAAGUUUAUGUCCUCAUCCAUAUGAUUUGUUCAGUUAAGAUAGAGUAAGAUAUGUAUUCAAAUUCCUCGAUAAUCCUCCAAUAUAGAUAGUGCUCAUGAGAGAAGAUAGUGUGAACCUAGAUAGUUAAAUAGAGUUUGCAUUCGAGGAAUAUUGCAGCCUAGAGAGUUAUGAUUUAUAAGUAGUAAAACUUUCUUAUAGUUGAAAGUAUGGGUAUAGAAGUGUAGUGGCAAGAAUUAUGGGAAUGAUGAUUGAUUGAAAAUAUAUAGAUGAGCUUAUGCGUGUUAUAAGGUUUGUGUUAAGGUGAUAUGUCCUUAUGUGUUAGUUUAGAGGUAAUGAAUGUGGUACAAGUCCCUUGGUAGAAGGCAUAGAAAGAGCAAUUAGUUAAGGUGAAUUAUUGUUUUCUUGUAGUAUGGACAGAGUUAUUGAUGGUACCUAUCCUGUUAGAAAAGUAUUAGUUAUUAAUGAAAGUAUUUGGUGGUUUAGCAUUAUUAAUUUAGGGUUCCCUUGAGGUUGCAACAAAAAAAAGAGUUUAGCUAAAACUUAUAGAGCUAUGAAAGUAACAUAGGUGGAUAGAUGGGUAAACAGUUGCAAUGUAUAGAAAGAGGAGGUGCUAAUGUAUUAUAAUAAGAUAGAUCAUGCGAUCAUAUGAUCAAUUGUUGUUAUUAUGAGGUUCUAGUGUACUAGUGUUUCUUGAUGCUAUAUUUUACAGUUUCCAAGUGAGAAUAGUAUGUGAGAUUGGGUUGUAAAUCAUGUUUAACACUAGACAUUAAGUUUGAACAACGAAUGAUCAUCAAGGUGGAAGUAAUGAUUGCUCGGUUAGUGAUGCUAGUUAAAUGGAAGUGAUUUAGUAGGCUUUGAUAGUACAUACAAGAAUUAAAGUUCAGUUAAUCAUAAUUAAGUAUGUUAUAGAGGUGUGCCCAAGGGUGAUAUGGGGUUGCAUUAUUUUCUAUGGUUACUACAUGUUGUGUGUGAAUAGUAGUACUAUUGAGUUUCUAAGUCGAAGGAGGCUAGUUAUAUAGUAUUUAAUUCUCUUAAUAGCUAAGUUAAAGCCUUUUUGGUAUGAUUUUGAUUCUCAUGGUUUAGGGGAAAAUAUAAUUUUAGAGAUGUGAUAUUAGUAGGCUAUGACGGAAGUUGUAUGGUUCAUUAAAGGUUUGGGGAUAUCCAUGUUAAGUGUUAGAAUCUUAGUUUGAAUCCUUGAAGAUUAAGCUAACAGAAAUAAGAGUUGAAGUUCUAGAUGGUGUGAACACCGGGCAUGGUGAUACUCAUGAAGAUUCUAAGUUAGUAAGUGUUCAAGUAUUAUAUGAUGACUAUUGGGCUAUAGAAAGAUAUCUCAGAAGGAAGUAUUAACAGUAGGUCUUACACUUUCAGGUGUAGUCUUUCAGAGUAAGUUUAUUAUUUACGUGUAUUGUUGUAUUUCAAAAUCUAGAGUGCAACGAGUGUAGUUCAAUUUAUAUUUUAGUAAAGGGUUCCACAGACUUAGAAUGAUGUCUUAAAGCUAAGGGGGAGAUGAUAGAACAAGGAAAUAAGUCAGGCUCUCAAAUUCUUGUAGUGAUGACAGUAUGUUAUAGAACAUCUAAAAGGGAGAAUGAGGCAAACCCAUUCUUAUUUCAGUAGUUGUACUUUAGUUAUUGUGAUAUUUACUCAUGCCUUACGUGUUAGUUCCAUAAUCAUAGUUCAUGCUCAUGCACAUAAUAGAGAAUCAUGUACUCUCCCAGUUUCUAGUAUGAGGAGUUCCAGUUUAUUCAGCCGUACGAAUCAUGUUACAUAAGUUAUGAACUCCAAAUUCAAGUCAUGCAUCUCAUGACUCAUGUACUCAUGCUUUACAAUAUGUUCAGUUCCAAUACUCAUGCAACACUCUUAGUGGUUAGAGAAAUACAGAUUUUGCCAUGUAGAUCCUCAUUUUGACCUAUGUAAUGAAUCCAUGUCGUGAAUACUCUAUUCCUCAGGCCUCAGUAAAGUGUCAAGUUAUACUUAGUAUCCCUUCAUAUUUUGGGUCCUGAUAUUCCAACCUUUCAGUGAUCUCCCCUUAAGUCAAGAUAGUGAUGAUGAACAAUUGUGUAGAUGGAAGAGAAUAAAUAUGUUAUGUUGGGAAAAAUAGUGGUAUGCUUGUGUUUUUGUAUGUUUAUAAGUGAAGAAAUAUUGAGGUGAAGUUUUUUUUUUGUGUAAGACUUGGUUAGUUGAGAAUAUAUUUUAUGCGUGUCUUAUUAAGAAUAGUGCAUGGAAGUUGUUAUUAAUAGAGAUAUUAGAGAAUAUGAGAAAGAUGCUUCUAUGGGUGUUUGUUUAGAAGCGCAUAUAAUGUUAUAAAGAUAGGCUUGAAUGUCAUGUUGGUAUAUAUGAGGAUAGGUGCGUUGGGAACUAAUGAAUUUCUAUUAAGAGGCUGAAUUUAGUUGUUAAAGUGAUAAGAAGAAUUAUCCUAGAGAUGAGCAGUUAUGGCAACGUUUGGGGUACUGAAUUCAUGGUUCAGACUAGUAUUAUGGUGUUAUGUGCAGUACCUUAUGAUUUUGAGUUAAGAUUGAACAUGAUAAGAAGAUUUAGUUCAGUUUAGACUUUAGUAGAUGGAUUUAUCAAUGCCCAUGUGAGAAUUAUAAGUUAAAUCAAGUAAACAUGGUAUUUCAGGGGGGAUAGUAUAGUUGAUGGAAUAUUUGAGAGGUGUUUCUAAGCUUGAAAUUAAGAAGUUGAAUUGCUUAAGGCCUAGUAAUUCUAUACUAACUUAUGAUUUAUAGGUCUAUGUUCCAUGCUAUAAAGUUGUAGCAAUGUUGUAAUUUCUUAUUCAGAUGUCUUGUUCAGAUCAUGCCCAAAGUUCUUUACUCCUUAAUUUCAUUAGAAUUUCUUAGAAGAUUGUUGAAGAAAUACUCCAUUUGGGUAUGAGCAUUCAGUAUGAUUCAGUCCGUAUAGCCAACAAUCUAGUUUAAUAGUCAGACAGAUAAAUUUCUAUAGUUUUUCUAUCUUCCGAUUUAGUCUAGUCUUACUACCUGAAGUUUCAUGAGUAUGGCCAUUCCAAAAGGUAGUUUUUUCGCAUCCAUGUAAAUUGCGAAUUCAACUCAGUGUAUGCAUCAGGCAUAAGUUUCAGAUUCAGAUAUUUAGUCAUGAUUCAUUUCAUAAGUAUUCAGUGAACGAUCUUAGUUUUCCAAGUAUUCUAGCUCAGACAGUGUAAUACCCAUUGUAUGAUCUUAGCCUUGUUGUCUCAUGAUUAAUGCCUGCAUAAUUUAUCACUUCGCAAUUUUAUAUGUAUGAUUACAUCAUGAACACUUCAAGCGAAUUCUAAACUUUCAGCAUAAAUCAGCUCCUUAUAGUAAGUAUGGCAAGUCAGCUUAGAAAUCAGUUUCAUAAUAGAGGUUUUAAUGUUUCAAACUUAUUCAUGUAAGUAUGUUCCCUGAUGUGACUGUCUAGUAUAUGAUCUCAGUUACCUUAGUUUAGAACUCUCAGUCCAAUCAGUCGCUCCGUAUGAUUUAGAUUUAGACAUGCAGUUCUAUUUUAGUUGUGCAUGCCAGCAUAUAGUCUCAGUUCCUUAGUAUCCUAAGUUUAACUAGUCUCAUUCGAGGAUGAAUGUUCUCAAGGGGGAUAUAUUGUAAUACCUCAUAGUUUACUAAAUCUCGUUUAGCUCUUAGUGUGUCACGAAUCAAAUUCAAAAGCGUAUAACUCUUGAUGUGUAUAGAAUUUUCCAGCUCUAGACCCACCAAUGUGUAGAUAAAUGAAUCAGCGUUCCAACGAUAUAAAUUUUGCCUUAAUCCGACUUAUGGUUGAGAAGUUAUGGCAAUUUUAGUAAAAACAGUAUAGCACCGUGAAAAGCACCGCAUCGCGGUAGAGGAUAGAAUCACAAUUGUCUAAUUUCCUGUGAAGCACCGUGAUUAGACUGCAUCGCGGUGAAGCUCCAAUUCCCGUUCAUCCCUUUCCAGUAGCUCAACGCAAUUUGCCUUUAUCGCGUCAAAAUUUCUAAUUGGACAUACAUCGCAUCGCGGUGGAGUGCAAAAUAGCAUUCGUUUGUUUCCAAUGGGCAACACAAUAGCACCGCAUCGCGCGAGGUUCUAAACUCGGGCUUGUCCAUUUCCAUCGACGUAACGCGAUAGCGCAGCAUCACACCGAGGUGAAAAAUCGGGCUCCUGUUCCAAACUUAAGCUUUCAAGGGCAAUUUAGUCUUUUUCCCGAGCCCUAAAUCAUGGAAAAUAGAAGAUUUAGGGUAUUUGAAGCAACAUAUACUUAUUAUUCAUCAAUUUUCUCUCCAAGAAAACCCUAGAGUUUCAAUUUCAAAUUCCAAGAAAACUUAAAUUCCAUUAUUCUUUUUCCAAGAUAACCCAAAAUUCAAGGUUCCCAAUUCUAGAACUGCAAGAAACAAUCUUUAAGAGAACAAAUAGGGAUUCAAAGUCAAGUGUCUUCAUCAAUUUCAUUAAUUAAGGAAUGUGAAGUUUUUGAACACGGAUAAUCCUUUCAUCCUUGUGCCCAAAAUUAGUUUUAAGGGUGAUUUUGUACGAAAUUACAUGAGUUUCAAAUUAGGGUUCAUACCCAAUAUUGCUAAUUGAAAGAUUAGGAGAUUUGAAGUAAUUUAGAUGAUGAAUUUGCAUGUUUAUUUUCAUAUUUUUACGUGUAUUGCAGAAAUUUCCAGAUUUUGAGAUAAAUUAUCAAUACUUACAUUAUCAAGCAUGAACCUUAUGAUGUUUUGACAUGAAUUUGAUGCAUGAGUUGUUAAGCGCUAGUUUGUAUGGUGAUGUUUCGAGAUUGACUAUACUUUAAGCAUCCUAUGAUUAAUUAUUUCCAGAUUUUGAUAAAGAUUUGAUCUUUUGAUCUCAGCUUAGACAUGGAAUCCAUUUUACAGUUUCAAUUACAGAAUGGAUUAACAGAUACAAAAUUAAUUUUCAUUAUAAAACUUUAUACUAGUUUAAAAAGUGGAUUUCCAACACAGUGAGCAUACAAAUUAAAUGGAGUAGUAUUUACCACCGAGUUGGGUAUGUUUUCAUGCCCCAAAACUACGAGCCAAUGUAGGAUUUAGAUUUACCAAAUUAUUCCUAUUUCUAUAUGGAUGGCAGAUACAGAUGUGAUCACUUAGAUUAGGUUAUACUCCUUGGCAAGAAUAUGAUACUUCUCCGCAAUGUGAGGUUUUCCCAUAAUGGAACUAGACGUUGGACACCAUGAUAUCUCACAUAGUGUAUGUUGGUCAGAAGAACCUCCCUAAUAGUAAAAACUUUUAGAAUACUUUUUAAAAGUAUUUCCAGACUACAAACUACAAAUUUCAGAACAGAAUAAUCCUAACAGAAAAACUCUAAGAAAACAAGUGUUAAGGCUCUCAACUUUAUUCAGACAUCGUUUUACAAACGAUAUUAGCUAUGAGUUUUUAGCUUUUUAGAUUUCUGCUACAGAAGUGAGUCCUUCUACACUUAGACAACAUGACUUAAAGACAAAAUACCAGUAUAGCUUUUAGAAACUAAAUGUUAUGACUCACUAGAUUUAUGCAGUAUGUUUUGCUAUUCAUGAUUAUGAUUUUCAGUUUUCAGAUAUUCCAGCUUAUGUGAGUCAUCUACAUUUAGCAUGCAUUUUUUUUACAAUAUUUAUAGUACUAUUGAGAUAUUGUUUUACUUAUGCAUUCACCCCCACAUGCUCAGUACAUUCCAAAAGUACUGAUCCACAUAUACGUCUAUGUGAUACAUUGACUCAUAAUGUAGGUACUAGUUCAGUUGUAGUCCAUCAAUCACGAUUAGACAGUUACUUUCUUAUUUGGGGUUUUCAGUUAGAUGCUAUUUAUGUACUUUACUUUCUUACUCAUAUGUAUUGAUUAGUAGUAGUUGGGGUCGCGUCCCAGCUAUCUAUAGUAAGUAUAGUAGAGGCUUCACAGAUGUCAGUUAGUGUCAGUCAUAUAAUUUCAGUUCCGCUCUUCAGUUUUAUCAGAAUGUAAAAUUGUAUCAGUAUUGUAUUUUUCUUAGAUUUCAUCAUGAUUAUAUUUCCGCGCAGUAAACUCAAUCAUUUUAUACAUAUUUAGAUCAGUUGCUUAACAGUAUGCUAGUACAAGGGUUAGCUUAGGAUCACUUGUGGUCCUAAGCACCUUGUGACGACUAGGGGGUAGUCUCAGGUCGUUACAACAACCAACCACAAUGAUAUAUUUCCACAACCCCAUGAGCCAAUAUCCUCUCAUUAGUUUCAUUUCAUUCAUGAAUUUUCGCAUGUCUCAUAUGCCAAUAAAGUAUGAAUAUAAUCACAAUACAUCAGUGGUACUACAUUAAUCAAUUUAACAACAUAAUACAAUUAUUCACAUGUAUUCAAGGCUAUGAUUAUCACAUAGAACUCACACGGUCACAGAUAUCACAUAAUAUCUCAAUUUUGACAAUUAUAUCACAUAUAGGCUCCCACACGGGCAUAAAACAUAGAUAAAUAUUUUUCAUGAUUAGUUUCCACCCUUAACUUGCAUUUUUUAUCAUCAUUUACUACCCAGCCUAGUCUGAAGAGUUAAGCCAUAACCUACCUCGAAAGCCAAAACCGGUCUGCUACACCUUGAACCCAUGAUCUUACUUUUAACGAACAAUAUCGAACUCUACUAAAAAUAUCAAAUAUGAAAUCUAUGUGUCAAAACAAAACCAACGACGCCCAUAUUGACUACUUUUGGUUUGGGGUCAAAAUGGAUCCCCGGAAUGAAUUUUCAAAAAAGAAGGGCAAAAUCAGAAUUUUACUUUAAAAACAUGUUCCCCAUAUUUUUAGGAGCCUACAUCUAAAAACUCAAGUUAAAUCGAGUAAAAAAUGUAGUUCAAAUCGAAGAAAAACCAUUUUUGAGCUUUACCGGGUAAAUUCUUUGAAAUUCGGGUUAAAAUUAAGAAUCGAAUUUGUUUUGAAGGUUAAAUUAAUGACAAACUAGUAGUUAUAAGAUAAAAAUAUUAUUCAAGUGAAAAGAAGUGGAAUUAGGGUUUAAAAUCAAGCUCUAAGAUUUAUGGGGUUUUGAGAAAUUAAUUAAAAAAUUACUAAGAAAAGGGUGAAUUAAAUCCGUAAUUAAACCAAGAAAUGAGUGUUAAUAUAACUCUCCAAGAUCUCACAAACUUACUUUUAAGCUCUUGUACUAUUUUAGGGUUUAAGUCUUAAGAGUAAAGAUGAAAAAUGAGCAAAAUGGGCCAAAAAGGGUGAAAAAAUUGUUAUAUAGCAGAAAAUCUUCUACCAUAGAGAAGAUUUUUCUUUCCCAAGUUCAAACGGACUUCGACGGGAGCUCGGGUGUCGUUCGGAGUACGAUAUACACAAACAAACUAUGCAACCAUACUAAAUUCGACGUUUCUUACGCGAUGGAGAUAUCAUAUUUUCAAAAAAUAUCAUUUUCACAAAGUUGAUCCCUAAAAUUCGAAAUCAUAAUUUUCCAAACCGAGGGUCCAAAUGAGAUUUGAAAGCUAUAAAAUCAUAUCAAAUAUACUAACACCCUAAAAUCAACAUUCUGGAUCUGCUGACAAAUUCAAAUUUUCUAUUCGAGGUUGUUUUGAUCAAAUGUGGGUCCCACACCCAUAUUUUCAAUUUUCCAACAUUCAAACCAAUAGGUCGAAAUGAGCUCGGGUGCACUAUGAACCGAACCAAAGGUCUACCUAGGAUAAAAUCGAUAUUCUAAAGCUGCUGGGGCAGUUUGUUUAGCCAUCCAUCAUAUGGAUCAAAGGAUAUCCGUUAUAUAGACUGAUUGUGGUUUUUUAUGGCUUACCAGUAUAUGAUCUCAGUUACCUUAGUUCAGAACUCUCAGUCCAAUCAGUCGCUCCAUAUGAUUUAGAUUCAGACAUGCAGUUUUAUUUCAGUUAUGCAUGCCAGCAUAUAGUCUCAGUUCCUCAGUAUCCUAAGUUUAACUAGUCUCAUUCAAGGACGAAUGUUCUCAAGGAGGAGAUAUUGUUAUGCCUUAUACUUUUCUAAAUCUUGUUUAGCUCCUAGUGUGUCAUGAAUCAAAUUCAAAAGCGUAUAACUCUUGAUGCGUAUAAAAUUUUUCAGCUCUAGACCCACUAAUGUGUAGAUAAACGAAUCAGCAUUCCAACGAUAUCAAUUUCGCCUUAAUCCGACUUACGGUUGAGAAGUUAUGGCAAUUUUAGUAAAAAUAGUAUAGCACCGCGAUAAGCACCGCAUCGCGGUAGAGGAUAGAAUCACAAUUGUCCAAUUUCCUAUGGAGCACCGUGAUUAGACUGCAUCAUGGUGAAGCUCUAGUUCCUGUUCGUCCCUUUCUAGUAGCUCAACGCUAUUUGCCUGUAUCGCAUCAAAAUUCCCAAUUGGACAGACACCGCGUCACGGUGGAGUGCAAAAUAGCACUCGUCCAUUUCCAGUGGGCAACACGAUAGCACCGCCUUGUGCGAGGUUCUAAAAUCGGGCUUGUCCAUUUCCAGUGACGCAACGCGAUAGCGCCGCAUUGCGCCGAGGUGAAAAAUCGGGCUCCAGUUCCAAACUUAAGCUUUCAAGGGCAAUUUAGUCUUUUCCCGAGCCCCAAAUCGUGGAAAACAAGAGAUUUAGGGUAUUUGGAGCAACAUAUACUUAUUAUUCAUCAAUUUUCUCUCCAAGGAAACCCUAGAGUUUCAAUUUCAAAUUCCAAGAAAACUUAAAUUCCAUCAUUCUUUUUCCAAGAUAACCCAAAAUUCAAGGUUCCCAAUUCUAGAACUUCAAGAAACAAUCUUUAAGAGCACAAAUAGGGAUUCAAAGUCAAGUGUCUUCAUCAAUUUCAUUAAUUAAGGUAUGUGAGGUUUUUCAAUAAGGAUAAUCCUUUCAUCCUUGUGCCCAAAAUUAGUUUUAAGGUUGAUUUUGUACGAAAUUACAUGAGUUUCAAAUUAGGGUUCAUACCCAAUAUUGCUAAUUGAAAGAUUAGGAGAGUUGAAGUAAUUUAGAUGAUGAAUUUGCAUGUUUAUUUUCGUAUUUUUAUGUGUAUUGCAGAAAUUUCCAGAUUUUGAGAUGAAUUAUCAAUACUUACAUUAUCAAGCAUGAACCUUAUGAUGUUUUGACAUGAAUUUGAUGCAUUAUUUGUUAAGCGCUAGUUUGUAUGGUGAUGUUUCGAGAUUGACUAUACUUUAAGCAUCCUAUGAUUAAUUAUUUCCAAAUUUUGAUAAAGAUUUGAUCUUUUGAUCUCAGCUUAGACAUGGAAUCCAUUUUACAGUUUCAGUUACAGAAUAGAUUAACAGAUACAAAAUUAAUUUUUAUUAUAAACCUUUAUACUAGUUUAAAAAGUGGAUUUCCAACACAAUGAGCAUACAGAUUAAAUGAAGUAGUAUUUAGCAUCGAGUUGGGUAUGUUUUCAUACCCCAAAACUACGAGCCAAUGUAGGAUUUAGAUUUACCAAAUUAUUCCUAUUUCUAUAUGGAUGACAAAUACAGAUGUGAUCACUUAGAUCAGGUUAUACUCCUUGGCAAGAAUAUGAUACCUCUCCGCAAUGUGAGGUUUUCCCAUAAUGGAACUAGACGUUGGACACCAUGAUAUCUCGCAUAGUGUAUGUCGGUUAGAAGAACCUCCCUAAUAGUAAAAACUUUCAGAAUACUUUUUAAAAGUAUUUUCCUACAGACUACAAACUACAGAUUUCAGAACAGAAUAAUCCUAACAGAAAAACUCUAAGAAAACAAGUGUUAAGGCUCACAACUUUAUUCAGACAUCGUUUUACAAACGAUAUUAGCUAUGAGUUUUUAGCUUUUUAGAUUUCUGAUACAGAAGUGAGUCUUUCUACACUUAGAAAACAUGACUUAAAGACAAAAUACCAGUAUAGCUUUUAGAAACUAAAUGUUAUGACUCACUAGAUUUAUGCAGUAUGUUUUUCUAUUCAUGAUUAUGAUUUUCAGUUUUCAGAUAUUCCAUCUUAUGUGAGUCAUCUACAUUUAGCAUGCAUUUUUUUUUUACAAAAUUUAUAGUACUAUUGAGAUAUUGUUUUACUUAUGCAUUCACCCCCACAUGCUCAGUACAUUCCAAAAGUACUGAUCCACAUAUACGUCUAUGUGAUACAUUGGCUCAUAAUGUAGGUACUAGUUCAGUUGUAGUCCAUCAAUCACGAUUAGACAGUUACUUUCUUAUUUGGGGUUUUCAGUUAGAUGCUAUUUAUGUACUUUACUUUCUUACUCAUAUGUAUUGAUUAGUAGUAGUUGGGGUCGCGUCCCAGCUAUCUAUAGUAAGUAUAGUAGAGGCUUCACAGAUGUCAGUUAGUGUCAGUCAUAUAAUUUCAGUUCCGCUCUUCAGUUUUAUCAGAAUGUAAAAUUGUAUCAGUAUUGUAUUUUUCUUAGAUUUCAUCAUGAUUAUAUUUCCGCGCAGUAAACUCAAUCAUUUUAUACAUAUUUAGAUCAGUUGCUUAACAGUAUGCUAGUACAAGGGUUAGCUUAGGAUCACUUGUGGUCCUAAGCACCUUGUGACGACUAGGGGGUAGUCUCAGGUCGUUACAACAACCAACCACAAUGAUAUAUUUCCACAACCCCAUGAGCCAAUACCCUCUCAUUAGUUUCAUUUCAUUCAUGAAUUUCCGCAUGUCUCAUAUGCCAAUAAAGUAUAAAUAUAAUCACAAUACAUCAGUGGUACUUCAUUAAUCAAUUUAACAACAUAAUACAAUUAUUCAUAUGUAUUCAAGGCUAUGAUUAUCAUAUAGAAUUCACACGGUCACAGAUAUCACAUAAUAUCUCAAUUUUGACAAUUAUAUCACAUAUAGGCUCCCACACGGGCAUAACACAUAGAUAAAUAUUUUUCAUGAUUAGUUUUGCGUCCUUAACAUGCAUUUUUUAUCAUUAUUUACUACCCAUCCUAGUUUGAAAGAGUUAAGCCAUAACCUACCUCGAAAGUCGAAAUUGGUCCGCUACACUUUGAACUCAUGAUCUUACUUUUAAUGAGCAAUAUCGAACUCUACUAAAAAUAUCAAAUAUGAAAUCUACGUGUCAAAACAAAACCAACGACACCAAUAUUGACUACUUUUGGUUUGGGGUCAAAAUGGAUCCCCGGAAUGAAUUUUCAAAAAAGAAGGGCAACAUCAGAAUUUUACUUUAAAAACAUGUUCCCCAUAUUUUUAGGAGCCUACAUCUAAAAACUCAAGUUAAAUCGAGUGACAAAUGAGGUUCAAAUCGAAUAAAAACCAUUUUUGAGCUUUACCUGGUAUAUUCUUUGAAAUUCGGGUUAAAAUUAAGAAUCGAAUUUGUUUUGAAGGUUAAAUUGAUGACAAACUAGUAGUUAUCAGAUAAAAAUAUUAUUCAAGUGAAAAGAAGUGGAAUUAGGGUUUAAAAUCAAGCUCUAAGAUUUAUGGGGUUUUGAGAAAUUAAUUAAGAAAUUACUAAGAAAAGGGUGAAUUAAAUCCGUAAUUAAACCAAGAAAUGAGUGUUAAUCUAACUCUCCAAGCUCUCAAAAACUUACUUUUAAGAUCUUAUACUAUUUCAGGGUUUAAGUCUCAAGAGUCAAGAUGAAAAAUGAGCAAAAUGGGCCAAAAAGUGUGAAAAACUGUUAUAUAACAGAAAAUCUGCUACCAUAGAGCAGAUUUUUCUUUCCCAAGUUCAAACGGACUUCGACGGGGAGACCGGGUGUUGUUUGGAGUACGAUAUACACAAACGAACUAUGCAACCAUACUAAAUUCGACGUUUCUUACGCGAUAGAGAUAUUAUAUUUUCAAAAAAAUAUCAUUUUCACAAAGUUGAUCCCCGAAAUCCGAAAUCUCAAUUUUCCUAACCGAGUGUCGAAAUCAGAUUUGAAAGCCAUAACAUCAUAUCAAAUAUGCUAACACCCUAAAAUCAACAUUCUGGAUCUGCUGGCAAAGUCAGAUUUUCUAUUUGAGGUUGUUUUGAUCAAAUGUGGGUCCCACACCCAUAUUUUCAAUUUUUCAACAUUCGGACCAAUAGGUCGAAAUGAGCUCGGGUGCACUACGAACCAAACCAAAGGUAUACCUAGCCUAAAAUAGAUAUUCUAGAGCUGCUGGGGCAGUCUGUUUGUUGUCAUUAAUUCUGAUUACUUCUAAUAAGAAAAAGUUUAACAUAGAUAUAUUUAAUUAAUUUUUAACUCUAAAUUUAGAAAAAUAGUGAAAAGAUGAUAAUGAGGAAUGAUUUUACCAUAUAUAUAUUUAAUUAAUUUUUAACUCUUAAAUAUUAGGAAAAUAGUGAAAAGAUGAUUUUGUCUAUAGCAAAGACUUUGAAUGAAGGACAAAAAGUUCAAACGACAUUUCUAAGGCCUUCACACUUUUAAUAUAGUAUAGAUAAAUAGCAACAUUUUGUCAAAAUUAUACUUUAUAGCAAACGUAGCAUUAUUUUGGUGGGACAAUGCACUCACGCUUGUUUCUUGGUAAAUUCUCCUAUUUUCACUCCAACACUUUACCUCUUUCCUAUCUUACUUUACCUUUAUUUAUUUAUUUAUUUAUUUAUUUAUUUUUCAAAUAACGCAUAAAUUGCAGAUUUUCACUCCAAUUUUUUACCUUUUUCUCAUAUUUUUCUCACAUUAUAGAUAGAGAUUGUUCUCCAUAAAAUAUGGUAAGUAUCAAUUUACAAUUAUUGCAUGUUAUCUCUUCCACAUAUUCUAUAUAUUUUAUAUUUUUAUAUUUUUAUAUUUUUAUAUUUUUUUGUUCUCCAUUGUUCAUGCCAUUUUUUUUGUUUUUUAUUUUUUGAGAAAAUUUUUGUUGUAUUAUGGAGGUCUGCUCUAAUGUGUGAGGCCGAAGCAUCGUAAUGAUUCGGAGAAGAUGGUCAAAUUAUGAAGCAAACCAAAAUUGAAAAAAAAAAAUCAUCUCCAAAAUUCUCGAAUAUACAAAGAUCUGAGGAAAAAAAAAAUCGGAGAAUCAAGCAAAAUUUUAAGUUUUAAUGUUGAAUACUCUUCUAAAUAUGAUUCGGAAGAAGAUAAAGUUGAAAAGGUAUUUGUAUUUGUAUAUAUUAGUUUAUGGUUUUUCACUUGUCUGUAUAUAUAUAUAUAUAUAUAUAUAUAUAUAUAUAUAUUACCCCGUACUUUUCCUAGAUAAAUUUAGCCCUUAGAAUGUCAAGGAUUAGCUUCAAAAAUGAAUAACUCUUGGUACAUAUAUAAUUUUCAAGAUCUAGACCCACCAAUGUGUAGAUAAUUGACUCAGCUUUUCAACGAUACCAAUUUUGCCUCAAUCCAAUACUUGGUUGAGAAGUUUUGGCAUUUUUAGUGGAGACAAUGUCUCAAAAUGGGCAGAUGCGGUGACAUGCAAAAUGAAAUUUGUCAAAUUUCAGUGGACCAACGUGAUUGGCCCGUAUCGUGGUGAAAUUCCAUUUUCCAAUUGUCAAUUUCAGUGGCUUACCGCGAUGGUGGCGCAUCGCGGUGAUGGCCUAAAUGACAUUUCAGUGGCUUACCGCAAUAGCUCCGCAUCGCAUUGAUUUUUUAGUUUCCAGUUGUCAAUUUCUAGUAAGCCACCGUGAUUGUGGUGCGUCGCAGCGGGUGGCAAAAUUGAGAAUUUUCAAUAUUCCAAAAUUUAUUUUAAAAGGGUAGUUUGGUAUUUUCCCAAGCCCCAAAUCGUGAAUAACACUAGAUUAAACCUAUUCUAAGCAUUAUAUGCUCCUGUUUCAUCAAUUAUCUUUCAAAGAAACCCUAGAACUCAAAGCUUAAUCUCCAAGAAAUCCACUUUUCUCCAUUCAUUUUUAAAGAUAGCUUAAAAUUAAGGGUUUCCAAUUCAAGAUAAUUAAGAAUCCAUCUUAUAGAGCACAAAUAGGACUCCAAAAUCAAGUGUUCUCAUCAAUUGCAUCAAUUAAGGUAUGUGAGGUUUUUGAACAAGGAUAAAUCUUUCAUCCUUUUUCCCAGACUAGUUUUAAUUAUAGAUUCACAUGAUUUUACAUGAAUUUCAAGUUAGGGUUCAUACCCAUUUAUUGUUAAUUAAAGAUUUUUAGAUUUCAAGUGAUUUGGAUGAUGAAUUACAUGUCUGCUUUCGUAAAUUUAUGCAUGUGACCAUAUUUUCCAGAUUUUGAGUUGAAUUAUGAAUAUUUUCACCAUCAAGGAUGGACUUUAUGAUGAUUUAACAUGAAAUUGAUGCACGGGUUAUCAAGCCCUAGUUGAAUGUUGCUAUUUCAAGGAUGAUUAUGAUUUUAAGCAUCUUAUGAUAUGUUUAUAGAAAACUUUGAGUAAAGAUUUGAUCUUUCGAUCUUUAGCUAAGAUAUGAAAUCCACUUUACAACUUAAAUUCAGUUUUGAAUGAACAGAUACACAGUUGGCUUUCAGUAUGAGAUAUUAUGACUUUUCAAAGUAGAUUUCCUAUGGAAUGAUCAUACAGAUUAAAGGGAGUAGUAUUUAGCACCGAGCGGAAAGUGUGGGUUUAGCCAUCCUACUUUUCUAGAACUACGAGCCAACGUAGGUACAAAUUUAGUAUUCCCAUUUCUAUAUGGAUGACAGUUACAAAUAUGAUCACUUAACUCAGGUUAUACUUCUUGGCAAGAGUAUGAUACCUCUCCCCAACGUGCGAUUUUUCCCUUAGAGGAACCAGAUGUUGAACUCCAUGAUAGCUCACAUAGUUUAUAUCAGUUUGAAGAACCUGCCUUGUAGAUAAUCUUUUGAAAAGAAACCUCUCUGCUAGUAAAAGUAAAUAAAUAGCUACUGAGUAAAAUUCCCUACUAGUAAUACUAAUACUACAACUUUUGAAAGAAUUUCCCUAUAGUUUAAUAGAAAAGAAUGACAUAUAACAGUUCAACUUUUAGACUUUAAAUGUAAUGGCUCACCAGAUUUACUCAAUAUGUUUUAUUAUUCUUGAUUUAUGAUUUUCAGAUUUUAGUUAUUCCAUCCAUGUGAAUCAUUACAUACAACAUGCAUAUUCUAUGAAUUUUAAUAACAUUGAGAUAUUAAGUUUACUUAUGCAUUCACUCCAUAUACUCAGUACAUCCUCAAAGAACUGAUCCACAUAUACGUGUAUGUGCUACAUUGUCUUAUAAUGUAGGUUUAGGUGCUCAGUCUCUGAACGUGAGUGAUUUUGGGCAUCUCUAUCUACAUCCCGCUAGUUGGCGAGUCCUCAUUCGAGGGCCCAUUUACCUAAAUUUCCAUCUUUCAUAAUAUUUGAGUAGUUUCUUUCAGUUUAUUCUGAGUCAGUUGGGGGUUUGUCCCAAUGGCUCUCUAGUUUCUUAGUAGCAGAGGCUUGUCGGACUACUAGCUAUUAUAUGCAACUUUCAGUAUUAGUUAUCCAAAUAGUAUAUUUAGUUGAUCUCAGACAAUUUUGAUAAUAUUUAGUAUUUUAGCAUUUAUAUCUGAUUAAAUUACUUUAAUAUGAGCUAUAGACUUAGUAGCAGGCUUAUAGGGUUAGCUUGAGACUACUCGUAGUCUUUAGCACUCGUGACGUCUCGGGACCAGGUUUCGGAGUGUUACAAACUUGGUAUUAGAGCCUAAGGUUUAGAGAUUCCUAGUGAGUUAGGUAAGCCACAUUACGUAGAGUCUUGAUCAUGAGUGUGAAGUGUGCCACAUUUAUGAGAAAAAGACUAUGGGAUGUUUUAGGAAAUCAUCUCUUUCUUUCAUGAUCCAUCGUGCUUACAACUAUCUCUAUCUUCUAUUAAUUCAUGCUCUUUCAUGACAGAAUAUGCCCCCUCAUAGAGCUAAUGCCCUUAGGAAUGAUAACCAGUCACCCCAGCCUAUUGAUCCUCUGAAUGAGAAUGUGUCUCAUGCCGAAUUUUGGGCUGCCUUUUAGGCAUUAGCUCAAGCUAUGACUGAUAAUGUUCAGGCCAAUAAUCAGGCUGCAGUUCCAUAUCAGCAAAAGGGUUAUUUAGCUGUAGCCAGACUUCGUGACUUCAUGAGAAUGAAUCCACCUAAAUUAUUUGGAUCAAAGGUAGGUGAGAACCCAUAGUUGUAUCUUGAUAAGGUGAAAAAAAUCACCUAAGUUAUGUAUGUUACUGAGAAAAAGAGUGUGGAAUUAGCUUCUUAUAGGCUGAAGGAUAUUGCUUAUGAUUGGAUUGCUAUGUGAAAGAAAGAUAGGGGUGAGAAUGCAUCUCCCAUGAGUUGGCAAGCAUUUCAGGAUGAUUUUCUAGAUAGGUUCUUUCCACGUGAGUUGUGGAAACCAAGAUUGAGGAGUUCAUAAACCUGAGGUAGGGCUCAAUGACAGUAAAGGAGUACUGCCUUAAGUUUAACCAAUUAUCUAAGUAUGCUCCUGAGUUGAUAGCUGACACUAGAUCUAGUAUAAGUAAGUUUGUUACUAGAGUGUCUGGAUUGGUAGUCAAGGAGUGUAGGACUGCCAUGCUUAUUGGAGACAUGGAUCUUGAUAAAUUGAUAAUACAUGCCCAGCAGAUUAAGGCAGAAAAGUUGAAGGGAAGAGAUCGAAGUAAUAAGAAAACUAGGACUGGGCAGUUAGAGUAUGGUCAAUCAAGGUUAACAGAGGGAAAUCAUUUGCAGUUUCAGAGUCGUCUGCCUUUGCCAGCACCAUUUUCAACUAGUGCCCCCACACCCAGAACCAAGCAGGAAUAGUGGGGUAAGACUUUUAUGUCCAGAUCUCAGAAUAGUGUGGGUGGAAGGCCUAGUUUUCCUUCAUGUUCUAGAUGUGGUAAGAAUUAUCUUGGUGAGUGCUUGUUGGGUUAGAAAGGUUGCUUUGGAUGUAGUCAAUUGGGCCAUGGUAUCAAGGCGUGCCCGUAUGCUAAGCAAGGAAGCAGGGAUGUUCGUCCCCAAACUCAGGCUACUAGUGCACCGGCUUCUAUAACCUUCCAAAUACCUCCUCAGGGUGCAUCAUCUAAUAUCUGUGACGGUUAGUGCCAGAAUCGGUUCUAUGCUUUACCAUUCUGUUAGGAGUAGGAGAGCUCCCCAGAUGUUGUUACUGGUAUGCUUCGUGUAUUUCAUCUUGAUAUUUAUGUGUUAUUGGACCUCGGAUUGAGUUUCUCUUAAGUGAACCCAUUAGUUGCAGUAAAUUUUGAAAUAGGUCCUGAAAAGAUCCUUGAUCCCUUCUUGGUUUCUACCUAGUGGGUACAUCAGUUGUUUCCAAAUAGAUCUAUAAAAAGUGUCUUAUCACUGUCCUUUAUAAAAUUAUAUUAGCCAAUUUAAUAGAGUUAGAUAUGGUUGACUUUGACCAUAUUCUUGGUAUGGAUUGGAUCCACUCCUAUUAUACAUCCAUAGAUUGUCAUACUCGAGUGGUGAAGUUUCAAUUUCCUGAUGAACAAGUAUUUGAGUGGAAAGGUAAUUCAGUAUGUCCCAAGAGUCAUUAAAGCUAAAAAUUUGAUAUCUAAAGGGUGUACCUAUUAUUUAGUUCGAGUUGAAGACAUUAAGUUUGAGACUCCAAUAGUUUAGUCUGUCAGUAUAAUCAAUGAGUUUCCUAAUAUCUUUCUUGAAGGUUUGCCAGGGAUACCUCCCGAUAGGAAAAUAGAAUUCGGUAUUGACCUUCUCCCAGAUACUCAGCCAAUCUUCAUUCCCCAUAUCGUAUGGCUCGUGUUUAUUUUAAAGAUUUGAAAGAGCAACUCAAAUAUCUCUUAGACAAAGGUUGUAUAAGGACAAGUGUUUCUCCAUGGGGCGCUCCCAUCCUAUUCGUGCGAAAGAAAGAUGGUUCUUUGCGAAUGUGCAUUGACUAUCAUUAGCUGAAUAAAGUCACAAUAAAAAACAAAUAUCCGCUUCCUAGAAUUGAUGAUUUAUUUGAUCAAAUCCAAGGUAUAAGUUACUUCUCAAAGAUAAACCUUACAUUUGGCUAUCAUCAACUUAGAGUUAGGGAAUGUGAUAUUCCAAAGACAACUUUUAGAACCCGUUAUGGUUAUUUUAAGUUUCUAGUCAUGUCCUUCGAGCUAACAAAUGCCCCAGCAACCUUCAUGGACUUAAUGAACCAUGUGUUCAAAUAGUAACUAGAUAUAUUUGUCAGUCUUUAUUGAUGAUAUCCUUGUCUAUUCUCGUAGUGAGGAUGAUCAUGCAGACCAUUUUAGAAUUAUGUUGCAAACUCUUAGAGAUCACCAAUUGUUCACUAAAUUCAACAAAUUUGAAUUUUGGCUAAGGUCAGUAGCUUUUCUCGAUCAUAUUAUUCCAGUGAUAACAUUAGGGUUGAUCCCCAAAAGACUAAAGCGGUGAGGAAUUGACCUAGACCUAUUUCUCCAUCAAACAUCAGAAGUUUCUUGGGUUGAACUGGCUAUUAUAGACGGUUUGUUGAGGGAUUUUUGUCCAAUGCGUCUUCUAUGACCAAAUUAACUCGGAAGAAAGUUAAGUUUCAGUAGUCAGAUUCCUGUGAGAAUAGUUUUCAGAAGUUGAAGACUCGACUCACUUCAACCCCAGUUUUAGCACUACCUUAUGGUACAAAUAGAUUCGUUGUAUACUGUGAUGCCUUUAGAGUUGGUUUGGGUUGUGUGUUGAUGAAGAAAGGUAAAGUCAUAGCCUAUGCUUCUAGAUAUCUUAAGCCUCGUGAAAAGAACUACCCUACCUAUGAUCUUGAGUUAGUUUCUAUUGUGUUUACAUUGAAAAUCUGGAGGCACUAUCUUUAUGGGGUACAUGUUGAUGUGUUUACGGAUCAUAAAAGUUUGCAAUAUGUGUUCACUCAGAGAGAGUUAAAUCUUCAUCAGAGAAGGUGGUUAGAAUAGUUGAAGGAUUAUGAUAUGAGUGUUUUGUAUCAUUUGGGCUAGGCCAAUAUAGUGGCAGGCGCUCUUAGUAGAUUGUCUAUGGGCAGUAUUGCUCAUAUAGAAAAUUAUAAGAAAGAACUAGUUUGGGAAGUUCACCGAUUAGCUAGAUUAGGUGUGAGGUUGGUUGACUAAGCUAAAAGGAAUGUUUGGGUUCAGAGUAGUUCGAAAUCUUCUCUAGUUUCUGAAGUAAAAGAGAAAUAGGAUAGGGAUCUUGGUUUGGUCAAACUGAAGGGUUUAGUUAAAGAUCAAAAGGUAAAACUUUUAUCCCAAAGGGGAGAUGGUGUGUUGUGAUACCAAGGUAGAUUGUAUGUGCCAUGUGUUGAUGAUUUGAAGCAGCGAAUUAUGGAAGAAGCGCAUGGUGCACGUUAUUCCAUCCAUUCGGGUGCCACCAAGAUGUACCGCGAUUUGUGGGAAGUCUAUUGGUGGGGUGGUAUGAAGAAGGAUAUCGCUUAGUUAGUAGCUAAGUGUCCAGUUUGUUAACAGGUUAAAGUAGAGCACCAAAGACUUGGUGGCACGUUGCAGGAGUUUGGUAUUCCUACUUGGAAGUGGGAAGAGGUGAAUAUGGACUUUGUAACUGGAUUACCCCAUUCGCGUAGUCAUCCUGAUUUGAUUUGUGUUAUAGUAGACAGAUUGACUAAAUUAGCUCAUUUCUUGACGGUUCACACGUCCUACACAGUUGAAGAUUAUGCUAAGUUAUAUAUCAGAGAGUUAGUCAGAUUGCAUGGAGUUCCUUUGUCCAUUAUCUCAAACAAGGGUACUGAGUUUACCUCUUAAUUUUGGAAAGCCUUUCAGAAGGGUCUUGGUACUCAAGUUCAUCUCAGUUCAGCCUUUCAUCCGCAGACAGAUGGUCAGGCGGAGAGGACUAUUCAGACCUUAGAGGAUAUGUUAAGGGCUUGUGUUCUUAAUUUCAAAGGUAGUUGGGAUGAGCAUUUGCCGUUAAUUGAGUUCACCUACAAUAACAGUUACCGUACUAGCAUUCAGAUGGACCUAUUUGAGGCUCUUUAUUGGCAGAGAUGUAGAUCUCCAGUAGGUUGGUUCGAAGUGCGUAAGGCUACUUUGAUUAGACCAGAUAUGGUGUUUGAAGCUAUGGAGAAAGUUCAGUUGAUUCGAGAAAGAUUGAAAGCAUCUCAGAGUCAUCAGAAAUCAUAUAUGCAAACGUGAGAAGGAGAGAUCUUGAGUUUAAAGUAGAUGACCUUGUAUAUUUGAAAGUUUCACCCAUGAAAGGGGUGAAGAGAUUUGGCAAAAAUGGGAAGCUUAGUCCCCGAUAUGUAGGCCCCUAUAGGAUUUUGAAUCAUGUUGGGAAGGUAGUUUAUGAGCUUGAGCUACCCGCAGACUUGUCCUCAGUUCAUUUUGUGUUCCAUGUAUCCUUAUUGAAGAAGUGCAUGGAUGAUUCAAUUGUUGUAGUUCCUCUAUAAAGCAUAGAUAUUCAUAAUAGCCUCUCAUACGAAGAAGUUCCAGUAGAGAUCAUUGAUCAUCAGAUUCAUAGACUAAGGAACAAAAAAGUUCCCUUGAUCAAAGUUCUGUGGUAAAACCAGUCCGUUAAGGGCGCUACUUGGGAAACAGAAACAGACAUGCGUACCAAGUAUCCUCAUCUCUUCUUCACAAACUCAGAUUCAGCCGAAGGUAACGGUCUUCCUUAAUUCAGUUCUUUUCCAGUCUCAGAUUCAGCCAUAUAGCUAUCUUUAUGCAAAUUUAUGCACUCGCAGAUUAGCUCAUUCACUCAGUAUAUUUUAGAUUCAUUCAUACAGCUUGUUUCAGUUGUGCAUGCCUACAUAUAGCCUCAGUUCUUUAGUAUUUUCAGCUUAACUAGUCUCAUUCGAGGACGAAUGUUCCCAAAGGGGAGAUAAUGUAAUACCCCAUACCUUUCCUUGCUAAAUUUAGCCCCUAGAAUGUUAAGGAUUAGCUUAAAAAAUGAAUACUUAUUGGUACAUGUAGAAUUUUUAAGUUCUAGACCCACCAAUGUGUAGAUAAUUGACUCAGCUUUCCAACGAUAGCAAUUUUGCCUCAAUCUGAUACUUGGUUGAGAAGUUAUGACAUUUUUAAUAGAGAUAGUGUCUCAAAAUGGGUGCACCGCAUCUCGGUGACAUGCAUAAUAACAUUUGUCAAAUUUCAGUGGACUACCGCGAUUGACUCAUAUUGCGGUGAAGUCCCAUUUCCCAAUUGUCAUUUUCAAGUGGCUCACCAAGAUAGUGGCGCAUCGCGGUGAUCGAAUAAAUGACAUUUUAGUGGCUUACCGCGAUAGCUUCACUUCGCGUUUUUUUUCCAGUUUCUAGUUGUCAAUUUCCAGUAAGUCACUGUGAUUUGUGAUGCAUCGUAGUGGGUGGCAAAAUGGGGAAUUUUCAGCUUUCUGAAAUUUAUUUCAAAAGGGUAGUUUGGUCUUUUCCCAAUCCCCAAAUCAUGAAUAACACAAGAUUAAACCUAUUCUAAGCAUUAUAUGCACCUAUUUCAUCAAUUUCCUCUCAAAGAAACCCUAGAACUCAAAGCUUAAUCUCUAAGAAAUCCAAUUUCCUCCAUUUAUUUUUAAAGAUAGCUCAAAAUUAAGGGUUUCCAAUUCAAGAUAAUCAAGAAUCUAUCUUCAAGAGCACAAAUAGGAAUCCAAAAUCAAGUGUUCUCAUCAAUUGCAUCAAUUAAGGUAUGUGGGGUUUUGUACAAGGAUAAAUCUUUCAUCCUUAUGCCAAAAACUAGUUUUAAUUAUAAAUUCACAUGAUUUUACAUGAAUUUCAAGUUAGGGUUCAUACCCAUUUAUUGUUAAUUGAAGAUUUUGAGACUUCAAAUAAUUUGGAUGAUGAAUUACAUGUUUACUUUCGUAAAUUUAUGCAUGUGAUCAUAUUUUCCAAUUUUUGAGUUGAAUUACCAAUAUUUUCAUCAGCAAGCAUGAAUUUUAUGAUGAUUUAACAUGAAAUUGAUGCAUGGGUUAUCAAGCCCUAGUUGAAUGUUGCUAUUUCUUGAAUGAUUAUGCUUUUAUGCAUCUUAUGAUAUGUUUAUAGACAGAUUUGAAUAAAGAUUUGAUCUUUUGGUCGUUAGCUAAGAUAUAAAAUCCACUUUACAACUUAAAUUCAGUUUUGAAUGAACACAUACACAGUUAGCUUUCAGUGUGAGAUAUUAUGACUUUUAAAAGUGGAUUUCCUAUGGAAUGAGCAUACAUAUUAAAGGGAGUAGUAUUUAGCACCGAGCAGAAAGUGUGGGUUUAGCCAUAACUACGAGCCAAUGUAGGUACAAAUUCAUUAUUCCCAUUUCUAUAUGGAUGACAGUUAUAGAUGUGAUCACUUAGCUCAGGUUAUACUCCUUGGCAAGAUUAUGACACCUCUCCCCAACGUAAGGCUUUUCCCUUAGGAGAAUGAUACGUUGGACUCCAUGAUAGCUCACAUGGUUUAUGUUGGUUAGAAGAACCCCCCUUACAGAUAAGCUUUUGAAAAGAAACCUCCCUGCUAGUAAAAGUAAAUAAACAACUUUUGAUAAAAUUCCCUACUAGUAAUACUAACACAACAGCUCUUGAAAGAAUUUUCCUACAGUUUAACAAAAAAGAAUGACUGAUAACUGUUCAGCUUUUAGACUUUAAAUAUUAUGGCUCACCAGAUUUACGCAGUAUGUUUUAUUAUUCUUGAUUUAUGAUUUUCAGAUUUUAGUUAUUCCAGCCAUGUGAGUCAUUACAUACAGUAUGCAUAUUCUAUGAAUUUUAAUAACAUUGAGAUAUUACUUUUACUUAUGCAUUCACCCUCAUAUACUCAGUACAUCCUCAAAGUACUGAUCCACAUAUACGUGUAUGUGCUACACUAUCUUAUAAUGUAGGUUCAUGUGCUCAGUCUUUGCAUGUGAGUGAUUUCAGGCAUCUCUAUUUACAUCCCGACAGUUGGUGAGUCCUCAUGGUUCGAGGGUCGAUUUACCUAGAUUUCUAGCUUUCAUAGUAUUUGAGUAGUUGCUUUUAGUUUAUUCUGAGUCAGUUGGGGGUUUGUCCCAAUGGCUCUCCAGUUUCUUAGUAGUAGAGGCUUGUCGGACUACUAGCUAUUAUAUUCAGACUUUCAGUAUUAGUUAUCCAGAUAUUCAGUUGAUCUCAGAAAAUUUUGAUAAUAGUCUGUAUUUUAGCAUUUCUAUCUAAUUAAAUUACUUUAAUGUGAGUUAUAGACUUAGUAGCAGGCUUACAGGGUUAUCUUGAGGCCACUCGUAGUUUUGAGCACCGUGUGACAUCUCAAUACCAGGUUUUGGGGUGUUACAGUGAAUGCGUUCCUUUAGUUGACUUCAAGACCGACUUACUUUGCACAAGACAUUCUUCAAUUAUUUAGGAUUAUGAUUUGUGAAAAUAAGAAGCUGAUGCACAAAGUGAUGACGAAACACCAAUGAGGCCUUUUAGGAAAAUCAGGAAAACGGACUUUACAGAAAUGAAGUUUGAUGAUUUAUUUGUAUUUUGUAUUUGAUAACAUUUAAAUGUAGGUUGUCAGUGACGUAGUUGAACAGUUGUUAAGUUUAGUAACUUACUUUCAGGUUUCAUGUGAAAAGUUAUUUAGAACGUGACAGUUAUAUUUUGAAGAUUGGUACUAAAUUAAAUGAAAUUGAAGGUUUUCAAUUCUAGUUUUAUGUUUAAUAUUUCAUUUCUAAUAGUUGUAUUUUUUAAUUACAUAUGUAUUAAUAGGUUAUUAUACAUUUUUGUGUUCAAACCUUACAUAUAUAUAACUUAGUUGAACAACUAUAUAUUUGUAAUUAUAAGUAUUUCAAAAAGCAAUAAAAAAUACAUCUAUGCAACUGUACACGGAAUGUAAUUAAUUAGAUAUAUAUUAAUAAUUGUGGAAAGAUUUAUAUAGUUUUUAUGUUUGUAAUUAUAUGUACUUUGUGAUUGUACAUCUACCAUCAUAUACGUAUUUAUAUUUUUGUAUGUAUUUUUGUGAUGGUAUAUAUAUCUAGAUAUGUUUUGAUAUUUAUAUGUAUUUUUGUGAUUGUUAAUGCACUAGGAUAUGUAUUUGAAUAUGAAUAUGUGUUAUUUGAAAUUAAAUGUGUAACUGAAAAAAUACUACUGUUUUACAGUAUUUUUUCACAUUCAUUGAAUACUUAUAGAAUCAAUCACAUUUAUUUAUUUAAAAAAAGUUGCAUUUACGAAAAAUGUAAUUGUAAUGUAUUGUAAUACAUGAAACAUAAUUGUCAAUGAAGAAUUAUUCAAAUAUUUUGCAAAUGAGUUCAAUUUUAUGAAAUGCUAGAAUAUUUUUUUUUUGAUUGAAUACAACAACAAUUGUAUCAUUUGUUUAAGGGUCACAAUAGGCAUUCAUAUAACAAUUGUAUCAUUUACGAUAUUUGUUAUAUGAAUGCCUAUUGUGACCCUUAAACCCACAAGCACUACAAGAAUUGGUGAUUUUCUUUUCGAACAUACCCCUUUCAAAUUUUUCACGAUCUUUCUUUGGAGGUCUGCCAAGAGGCCGCUUGGAUUUUCGUGACAGUACUUCCUCAACCAAUAUGAUAUGUGAAAUUAUCCAAUCGUCUUUGUAUGAUAAAGAAUAAAUUGAAACAUCAUAUGUUCUUACUACUAUUUUUGACUUGUAUAAAUCAAAACAAUAUGGUCCCUUUGUAAAAUUUUUGUUAUUCAGGAUUGUACAAGCAUAUGCAUAUUGUAUUUCGUCCAAUUGAAAUGUGUGGCAAGAACAUUUUUUCUUAAGGCAAGCAAUAAAAUGGCUUUCUUUGUCAUAUACUGUGUAGACAUACCCUUUGGUUGGUACAAUCUCAUAUUUUUUUAAAGAAAAAUAAUUAAAGCAGUCAAAUACAGUUGGACAUUAUUAUAUUUUGAGAAAAUACAUCAAAUCCCCCCUCAACUUGUCAGCAAAACUUACUUUAGACCCUAAACUAAUCGGGCAAUUAUAUACCCCCCUUAAUAACUUUCAAGCGAAUUAAAUACAACCUCUACGACUAUCGUGGCAAAAAAUAAAAGAAAAAUGCGUGAGUUUUUUUUUAAAAGGGUCCACUUUAUUUAUAUAUAUAUAUAUAUAUAUAUAUAUAUAUAUAUGUAUGUAUGUAUGUAUGUAUAUAUAUGAAACCCAUUUUCUUCAUAACCCCCUCCCCAACGGUUCCCCCCCAACCUCGACACUGUUUCACACAAGUACACAAGAUCUUGAUCAAUAUUUAUUUGUAACUCAAUGUUCUCAUUAACUUUGUUUGCAUCAACAAUAUCUUAAAUGGAAAAUUCAAUCCUUUUAGUAGAGGGGUUCUUCGAUCGAAAAACAAUCUUGUUUCCCAUCAUGGAUUUGUUAAUGGACUCGAGAACGUAAUCCUUUUAGGCAGUUUGUUGUCAAUGCCUUGUUAAUUUUGACUGUUAAAAACAUUGAGGGAGUGAGAAUUAAAGGUUGAAGUAAGGUUUUAAUGGAGGAAGAACCUUAAUUUAUGUCUUCAUGGUUGUUCUCUGUGGUGUUAAUGGGGAAAAUAAAAAAUAAAUUAGAGGGGGAGAAAUUUUUUUUGCAGGGGUGGGGGUUGGAAGGGGAGAAAGAGAGGGGGUGGGUGGCAUGGACUGAGAAGAAGAAAAAAAAAUGGGUGGGGAAGGGCUGAAAGAGCGGGGCGGAGGGAAUCUGAAGAAGAAGGAGGGGUGGGGGUGUGAAGAAUAAAGGGAUUUAUUUUAUUUCUAUUAUAUAUAUAUUUUAUAUAUAUAUGAAAAUAGUAUAUAUAUAUUUUUUAUUUUUUAAAAAAGUAUAUGAAAAUAGUAUAUGUGUGGGACUAUUUUUUUUUAAAAAAUUAUUAUUUCUUACGUGGCAAUGAUAUGACACUGAUGUGGCACUGAUUUGCCAAUGACAUGGCGCGUGUGUAGUGGAAUCUCCGUUGUGAGAGUGAGAUUGUGAUGUCGAGGUUGUAUUUAAUUCACUUGAAAGUUAUUGAGUUGGGGUAUAUAACUGCCAAUUAGUUUAGAGUCUAAAGUAAGUUUUGCUGACAAGUUGAGGGGGAAUUUGAUGUAUUUUCGCUUAUAUUUUCUGUCAAAUAGGAUGUAUUUUCAUUCACAGUUAAAAAUACAUUUACAGAACUGUAUAUAUAUUUUUACAACCACAACAACAAAUACAGUUUUUAGAGAACUAUACAUAUAUUUUUCAAACAUAACAACAAAUACACUUUUCAAAGAACUAUAUAUGUAUUUUUCAAAACAGAGAUGAAAAUACAUUUUUAUACAUUCAAAUACAUAUAUACAGAUGAGGGUAUAAUUGGUUGUACGAUGCAUUUGUACUCAACAGUAUAGCGUCAGUGAUGUAUUCAUCAUAAUUUGGUUCAUAUGCCCAUCUCCCAGAGUGCUUCACAAAAACAACGAUUUUUCUCAUUUUUAUUUUUCUUCACAUCAAAAAUGUUAUAAAAAACUACAAUAUAUUCAUUCAGUCACAACUACAAUGAGAACAUACAGAUAGAAGCAUUAAGUUAAAACUGCAAUCAAAAUAUACAACAUAGUUCUAAUUAUACAAAUGCAAUCCUAAUAUACAAUUAGACUCUCAAAUCCUCAAAUCCACAUAUUCACAGAAAAUAUACAAAUAAAAUUAUAAUAAACAAAUAAACUGAUAAUAUACAAUUAUACUCAAUAUAUACAAACAAAGCUCUAAAUAUACAAACAUAAACAAAAAUAUACAAACACAAACAAAAUAUACAAAUAAAAAAAAAUUCAUUAUUCUGAAUAUACAAAUACAAUCAUCAAAAUAUAUAAACGCUAUCAAAAUAUUUACAUUUCGGGAAAAAUAAAAUUGAUACUCUUGAAUAAGUACGUAGCAAAAUUGAGUUUGACCAAACAAUAGCUCGAUCAGUUCGAUCAACAUCGAAUUUGAUGAAAUAAUGUAGUCGCCUUAAUUUUUUUAAAAUUCAUAUAUGAAAUAUUCUAAAGCGAUUUGCUAAAAAAAAUGAUUUGACCGAAAAACGAUCAAAUACAAAAAAAUAAUUUCAGAAAAAAUGAAUAAAUAGUUUUAAUUUGCUGAAAUUCAUCCGAAAUUCAUUUUAUGAUUCAAUAUCUGUAACAACAAUGAUGAUUUAUUUUGAAAUACUCAUAUGACCUUAUUUGAUUUGAGGCUUUGUGUCAAUAAGUAGUAUGGUACGGGAGAGUUAUUAGAUACCCAACAUGGUCAGAUUCGAUUCUCCCGUUUGAUUAUUGAUUUAAUGUGUGUUGGAUCAAUGGUAUUGACCUAACCAUUUUCUAUCUCUUUGGGACAUAAAGUUUCUUGCUUUCCUUCAUUUUUCUUUACUUUGAGCUUUUGGUUUUGCUUAAAAAAACUCAAUAGCCAUGAGGUAUUUCUACUUCUCAUAUGCAGGACAUUAGUGGUUUCUUUAAAUUUUUAAAGGUAUGAUUUUAUCCUUAAUGUGCACUUGAAAUGAUCAUGAAUGGUUCUUUUGAGUUGAGACUUAGUCUAUGGUUGUUUGUAGUUCGAUGUUGCUUCGUUCUUUUACUUCUUGCUAAUUUCUUAUCUCCUUUCAUUGCAUGAACUCUUCUCAACGAGUCCAUGGACUUUCCCGUUGCAUAUCUUCGAUUCCAAGUCCCUUUCAAGUCCAAAAAUGGAUUAAAAUCGUGAAGAUCAAGGUUGGAUAUAAAGAUAUACAACAAAGAUACAUUAUAUGCAGGUGGUGGAAGCUAAUCUACAAGUUAGAAAAAGGAAGUUGGUAUACAAAGCAGAAAGAUGAUAUACAGUGUGUAUAUAGCCAAAACGUGGAAAAAGAGGAGCUGAUAUUCAUAUGGUAUACAGUUGAGAAAAGGCUGAAAAAGGUCUAAAAAUAAGGCCCAAAACUUUGGCAGAUUUGAAAUGGGCCAACAAGGGCCGAAAAUUCAUUCUUUAUUCCUUUACCUCCUUGUAUUGAUUUGGAUUAUUUAUUUAGGAAAAAUUUCAUAAGUAGCAAACUUAAACUCAUAAUUAGGAACUUCCUAGCACCUAUUUUAUAAUUACCUAAAAUAGCAAGUUGUAUUUUGUAUUUUAGACAAAAUUUGCUACAGAUAUACAUAUACAAGAGAAAUUAUUGUCCCCUUUUUACUCUAAUCAAUUGAGUUAAAUAAGGGAUAAUUAUCCUAUGUAUUAGAAGCUAAGAUUCCUUUUCCAUAAAUGACUCUUAUUAAAUAAAGGAUAAUUAUCCCAUGUAUUUAAAGCUGAAGAUUCAUUUUCCAUAAAUGACUCUUACUAAACGUAAUUGACAUUAUUCUUCAACAACUAAAAUCAAUAUUCAAAAUGCCAUUCUACAGUAUAAUUUUCAACAAAAAAUCAAACUCUAAGUAGUUGAAGAUUCUUAUCUUUAUGAUCUUCAAAAUGCAAUUUUCUAUUUUUUAAAAAAGUAUAUGAAAAUAGUAUAUGUGUGGGACUAUUUUUUUUUAAAAAAUUAUUAUUUCUUACGUGGCAAUGAUAUGACACUGAUGUGGCACUGAUUUGCCAAUGACAUGGCGCGUGUGUAGUGGAAUCUCCGUUGUGAGAGUGAGAUUGUGAUGUCGAGGUUGUAUUUAAUUCACUUGAAAGUUAUUGAGUUGGGGUAUAUAACUGCCAAUUAGUUUAGAGUCUAAAGUAAGUUUUGCUGACAAGUUGAGGGGGAAUUUGAUGUAUUUUCGCUUAUAUUUUCUGUCAAAUAGGAUGUAUUUUCAUUCACAGUUAAAAAUACAUUUACAGAACUGUAUAUAUAUUUUUACAACCACAACAACAAAUACAGUUUUUAGAGAACUAUACAUAUAUUUUUCAAACAUAACAACAAAUACACUUUUCAAAGAACUAUAUAUGUAUUUUUCAAAACAGAGAUGAAAAUACAUUUUUAUACAUUCAAAUACAUAUAUACAGAUGAGGGUAUAAUUGGUUGUACGAUGCAUUUGUACUCAACAGUAUAGCGUCAGUGAUGUAUUCAUCAUAAUUUGGUUCAUAUGCCCAUCUCCCAGAGUGCUUCACAAAAACAACGAUUUUUCUCAUUUUUAUUUUUCUUCACAUCAAAAAUGUUAUAAAAAACUACAAUAUAUUCAUUCAGUCACAACUACAAUGAGAACAUACAGAUAGAAGCAUUAAGUUAAAACUGCAAUCAAAAUAUACAACAUAGUUCUAAUUAUACAAAUGCAAUCCUAAUAUACAAUUAGACUCUCAAAUCCACAAAUUCACAGAAAAUAUACAAAUAAAAUUAUAAUAAACAAAUAAACUGAUAAUAUACAAUUAUACUCAAUAUAUACAAACAAAGCUCUAAAUAUACAAACAUAAACAAAAAUAUACAAACACAAACAAAAUAUACAAAUAAAAAAAAAUCAUUAUUUUUAAAUAUACAAAUACAUUCAAGAAAAAAAUAAAAUUUAGACUGCUAAUGCCUACGUAGUAAAAACAGUGAUUAUAGCUUAACAUAUUCAUUGUUUCAAUCCCAUCAAAAUCUCUGGUUAUAUUUAAAUAUUAUAGAAAUAUAGCUAUUAUUAAGGAUGAUAACAUAUUAAACUAUCAUUUCAUGUCUGCAUCUAAUGGUUUUUCAUAAAAUUUUUAGUUUGCCAAAUUUAAUUUUUGUAUCGUGAUAUAAAAGUCCAUAAACUAUAAGAGAACUAAUUUUUUUUUAAAUAAAUGCAUAAUAUUCGUAAAUAUUUUAAGAAAAAAAGUACUUGAAACAUAACUAAGUUUUCAACUUCUUGUUAUAUUACAACUAAUGGACAAAAUUGGUUCACAUCAAUUAGCACAUAUUCAUAAGUUUGAUCAAGUAUUAUCUAAGAUCAAAUAACGGCGACAUUCGAAAAAUAAUAGAUUUCGAUCAAUUUUUACAAUACAAAACGAGAAUAAACUUUUUUAAGUUGAAAAAAAUAAUUUCACACAAAAUGAUCUCAAUUUCGCAGACCGAGAAGAAAAAGGAAUUGUUGAAAUUCAUAUACAAAAUCAAAUUUAUUAUUCAAUACUUGUAACAACAGUGAUAAUUUUUUUUGAAAUUUAGAAGCUUAUCAAUAAAAGAAUCUUCAAUUUGAUUUUGAGAUUGAUUUUAAUUGCUGAAUUUAGUUCAAUAAAAAUGAAUCUGAAUUUUGAUUUCAGUAGUUGAAUAAUAACAACACACUGGUUAAUAAGAGUCAUUUAUGAAAAAAGAAUCCUCAGAAUUAAAUACAUGACAUAAUUUAAGGGAUUGAUUUUUUUUUUUAACUCAACUGAUUUGAGUUAAAUAAGGGGCUGCAAUUUUGUUUGUUUCUGUAUUUAUCUAGCAAAUUUUUCCUAAAAUACAGAAUACAACUUGCUAUUUUAUGUAAUUAUGAAACAAUUGCUAUGAAAGUCCGAACUAUGAUCAUAAUUUUCUACUUAUGAAAUUUUCCCAAAAGAACUAGAAAAAGCCUAGGUGGUGAGUUGGCCUAGAUUGCACAGGCUCAUCUCUUAUAUAACCCCUCACGCUAGAUGUCUAUCCCAACUUGGAAAGUAAAAUUAUGUGUCGCUCCUCUAUCAAUGAUUUAGUAAAAAGACCAACUAAUUGGAUAGAGGUAGGAAUAUAUUGCAAGGUGUGCGAGCAUAAUUAACUAAUAAAAUGUGUGUUUUUUUUUUCUAAAAAAUUAAUUUUUUUGUGAGAUGGUCAUCCACUUUAAUAUAGUAUCAGAGAACACAGUGAUUCAAAAAUUGAAUCUCAAUGCCACUCAUUAUGAAAAAUAAUUUACCUCACACACUGCAGUUUCUCCCGCGUAAAAAAAACAAAGGACAACUAAUAAAUUAUGAUAUUUUACAAGGAUACAUCCAUCGUUUCAGCUUCUUAAAGUAACUUCAACCAACAAAUAUCAUCAAUGGACUGCUUAAUUAUAUAUGGUCUUCUCUUCAACUAGAGAAGUGCUUUAAAGAUGAAAAAAUUACACAAACUAGCAUACCUAAGACAUUAAUUACAAUUAAUAGAAAUAGUUUUUCAAAAUUACAACUAAUAGCAAAAAUAGCAAUAUUUUAGCUUUUUUAUUCAGAAGCGCGUGACUUUAACCAUUACCCUCUUUUCACGCCAUUUUACCUUUAUAUUACCCUAUUAUCACGCUAAUUUAUCAAUUUCAAUUCCUCUCAAUAUCUUCUUCGGCUAUUUUUUCAUAAAUUUUAUUUUUUUUUCUCUCCAAUUCUUGAUAAACAUUGUCCCCCAUCUAUUAAGGUAAGUUGAUUUUACAGUUAAAAAUCUUAUCUUUUUCAUAUAACUUUUUUUGUAAUUUAUUUUUGGCAUUCUUUUUCCACGUUCUUCUGCGUUUUUUUUUGUGUGUGUUGAACAUGAAACUCAACAUGUAAUGAUCCAAAAAUGAGGAUCAUGAUGGCACUUAUCGCGGCAUACCUUGACAAGUAAGCCUAUCACCCAAACUGAUACGAAAAGAAAAAAAGAAAGAAAUAUCCCACGGUAAGGAUUCUAGAAUGAAGCCGAACCAUAUAAGUAAUCUUAACAAUGCUGAAAGAAAUUAUCCAAACUACCAAUCAUGUCCAAAACCAGGUGUCAAUAGUGUAAGAACUACUAAUAUAAUCCAAGAGCCAAAUGCAUCGGAAAAAUAACCACAAAUGAAUAAUAUCUGUCUCCAAAUACUAAUAAAGACAUAAUUACUGUAGAAGGAUAGAGGUGAACUUCAGAUGUAUGAAUGUUCAACAGCUACCUUGAAAGCUCCAACAAUCGCCCAAGUCAAGCAAGCUAAGGUACUCUUGAGCUAGGACUUGCACCGAAAGGGCGCAGUAGGCAUGAGUACGGUCCACUUGUACUCAGUAGGUAUCAUAGGCCGAUCAAGCAAAGUACUAAAUAAAGCAUACAAAAUAUACACUAAGGGCACGUCACCUGCAAUCAGAAAAUAUCCUAGAACGGUAGCCCACACCGCUUGCAAUAACAGUUCUAAUAUAUCUCACAUAUAUUACAACAACACACCAAGAUAUAGAACACAAGUAUACAUUAUGUCAAAUAUAAAUAGAAUAAGAGAGAGCAUGUAGAUACAAGAUCAUCAAAUAAUAGUAAAAGAAGGUAAGACAAAUACAUAGAUGACAAGUCAACAAGGCAAUACAACACAACAUAAAACAAUAAAGUAAGUGCAAUGUAUAUGAUGAUGGUGAUGAUGAUGAUGAUGAUGAUGAUGAUGCACGAGGUCGUUGCACAACUUCCGAGAUCAUCGCACAAUCUCCGUAUACACCUACGGAGCUAAACCUUUCCGACGUAGGACCCAAGGGGGGUUCGUUAAUCCAUAUACAAUCCACAUAUUCCAUAUCUCCUUUCUGGUACAUCCCUUAGAAAGGGUUUUAUAAGGUGUUACAAUAUCUUUUAAAAAUGUGUUGCCAGUGUUUCUCAGAUGUUGCCACAGUGGUACCAAUGUUUCAUAAAUGAGUAUGAUAUGAAGAUGUAAUGCUCAUAACCAAUCACAAUGAGUAUUUCCAAAAACAAGCACAUGAUAUAUUUUCACAAUCAACCACAAUGAUACAUUUCCACAACUAUAUACGCCAAUAUCCGCUCACUAUUUUCGUAUCAUCCAUGAAUUUUCACAUGUCUCAUUUACCAAUAAAGUAUGAAUAUAAUCAUCAUACACCAAUGGUACCACAUUAGCAUUUUAACAACAUAAUAUAAUUAUUCAAAUGUAUUCAAGACUAUCAAUAUCACAUAGGACCCCACACGGUCACACAUAUCACAUAAUAUCUCAAUUUCGACAAUUACAUCACAUAUAAGUCCCCACACGGGCACAACACAUAGAUAAAUACUUUUCAUGAUUAGUUCCCACCCUUAACAUGUAUUUUAUACCAUCAUUUACCACCCAGCCCAGUCUGAAGAGUUAAGCCAUAACUUACCUCGAAAGCCGAGAUAGGUCCGCUACACUUGAACUCGCGACCUUAUUUUUCAAGAACAAUCUUGAACUCCACUAGAACCAUAAAAUCUGAAAUCUACGCAUCAAAAUAAAACCAACGACACCCAUAUUGACUAUUUUUGGUUCGAGGUUAAAAUGGACCCCCAAAUGAGUUUUCGAAAAAGAAGGGCAAAAUUGGAACUUUACUUCAAAAACAUGUUUUUCAUAUUUUUAGGAACCUACAACUGAAAAUCCAAGUUAAAUCGAGUAAAAAAAAUGGGGUUCAAAUCAAAGAAAAACUAUUUUUGAGCUUUACCGGGUAAAACCUUUGAAAUCCAGGUUAAAAUCAAGAAUCGGAGUUGUUUUGAAGAUUAAAUUGAUGAAAAACUAGUAAUUAUAAGACAAAAAUAUUAUUCAAGUGAAAUGUGUGAAAUUUGAGUUCAAAAUCAUGCCCUAAAAUUUUUGGAGUUUUGUGGAAUUUAUCACGAAGCUAUUAAAAAAAGGGGUGAAUUCUUACCUUAAAUUCGUAAUAAAACCAAGAAAUAGAUGUUAAUCUAGCUUUCAAAGCACCCACAAGAUUCACUUUUAAUCUCUCAAACUAUUUAGGGUUUAACUCUCAAGAGGCAAGAUGAAAAAUGAACAAAAUAAGCCAAAAAGGGGUGAAAAAGCUGUUUAUAUUGCAGAAAAUCUGCAAUAUAACUGCUGGUUUUUUCUUCUAAAGUCGAAACGGAUUUCGACGGGAUGCUCGAAAUUCGUUUGGAGUUCGAUAUGUACAAACUAACUAUGCAACCAUACUAAAUUCAACGUUUUGGAUGCGAUGGCGAUAUCAGAUUUUCAAAAAAAAAAAUCAUUUUCACAACUUGACCCCCGAAAAUCGAAAUUAUAAUUUUCUAAAUCGAAGGUUGAAAUGAGAUUUAAAAGCCGUAAUAUCAUACCAAGUAUGCUAACAUCCUUAAAUCAACAUUUUGGAUCUGCUGGUGUAGUCGAAUUUUCCAUCAGAGGUUGUUUCAAUCAAAUGUGGAUCCCACACCCAUAUUUCCAAUUUUCCAACUUUCUGACCAAUUGGUCGAAAUAAGAUCGGGUGCAUCGGGACCCUAACCAAAGGUCUACCUAGAUUAAAAUGGAUAUUCUGGAGCUGUUGGCAUAGUCCGUUUGUCCAUCCAUCACACGGAUUAAAAUAUAUCCACAUUAGUCAAAAAUAAGGCUCCCAAAGCCAUCAAAAAUCACAAUAUUGCAUAAAUAAUACAAAAAUACAUCAAAAAUCAUGUCAACUACUCCCACACCCCAGAAAUACCAUAAUGCAACUAUGGAGAGGGGUAAAAUAGUCAUAUCACAUAAAACCAUAAAUUUCACAUAUUUCAUUAAAUUUUUAGGUCGUUACACAACAGAUCCAGUAUUGAAAACCCAUGGUUUGUCUUCGAUCUUCAUACUCAGGAUAGUGCAUGGUUUCAGCUGACAAGCAGAUAAAUUGUGCCACUUUGAUUGUUAAUAUUUAGUGCAUUUUUCUUCUUAUCAGAAAUAGUUGCUUACAAAGAGGAAGUGCUUUUGAAUGUUCUUAUUUGUAUUUCUUUCUUAGGUUGUGUUUUGGAUUGCCCAACAACUUUUCUGGUUUAUUUUUGUCCUAUUUUGUUUGGGGGUAGGGGUGGGGUUGGAGGACGUAGUCUCCUUUUAUGAUCUUGGGCAAUCCUUACCUCAUGAGUGAAUUGGACUCCUGGUUGUCCUACUCUAUAGUUUGGUGAAUCUACUGGUCCAGAAUAUAAAGUAAACAUUGCAAGACAUUAGAAGAAAAACUUGUGGCAAAUCGUCGGGAAAUUAAAGCGUUAUUUGGAGUUGAUAAGGCAUUUAAUCUUUUAGUAAGAUAGUUCUUAGUAUUAUCUUGUGGAUAGAGGCGUUAGUUUAUUUUUCAUACCGCACUACUUUAUAUGCACUUAUCUUUUGUGUUUGUUAUACUGUUAUCGGUUCAAAGCUUGGAGUUUAUCGAAAACAGUCUCUCUACUUUACCCGAGGUAGUGGUAUGGUCUGCAUACACUUUACCCUCCCUAGACCCCACUAUGUGGGAAUACACUGGGUAUGUUGUUGUUGUUGAUUUUUGUGUGUUGAAAUUUUUGGUGUUCCACUAUAAUGGCAGAACAUGCAAAUCGUAGUAGUUCAGUUAGAUGUAUUCCACCGAUGAAUUUUAGCAGUUCUAUCUCAUCUUUUCAUAUAAUUUAUAUUUUUUUAUUUUUUUGUAUUGCUUUCUUCUUCAUUUUUUUUGUUUUGGUGUUUUGUAUUUUUUGGUGUUUUUCCAGCCAAAGGAUGCCGUUUUCGGUGAUGGGUGGGUUGGUGGCUUCGAUUGGACUCGUCGGUUUUGGAGUUUCCCAAUGGAUUUUUGACGGAGGAAGGGUAUAUCCGGUUGAUUUCACCAUGACAGUGAGCGACAGCGGCAGUAAUGGUUUUUUAUCGGCGAGUAUUAGCCGGAACUGAUCACAGGAUUGAAUUUUAGUCGCUGGUUUUGCAGAUACGGCAAGGGACGGGCUUGACCAUCAUUUUUAUGGAUUUUUUGGUGAUGUGGUUGCGGCGAGUCAGUAUAUUCCGGAGAUAUUUCUAUAAAAUAUAAUUUUUACAGUAUAAAUAUUUAUUUGUAUUUGGUAAUUAUAAAAUUUGUAUUUGAUAUUGAUAAGAUUUGUAUUUGUUAAAGUGUAGAUAUGUAUUUGUAUUUGGUAUUGUAAGAUUUAUAUUUGUUAUGGUAUAGAUAUAUAUUUUAUUAUUUGUAAUCUUAUAUUUUAUGGACAAUAUGUUCAUAUAUGUAUUUUUGUCUUUAUAAUGUGAAAAUAUGUAUCUGUUAAAUUUAAGAUAUGUAUUUGUAUUUUAGGGAUUAUAUAAGAUGUAUUUGUUACAGUAUAGAUAUAUAUUUGUAUUUGCAGGGAUUGUGGUUUAUAUAUGAUGGCAUAUGCUAAGUGUCUUACUUUUGGUGAAUGUGUUCCAAAUGUUGACUUUGAUUCAGAUCUUCGUCGCAUGAUAUAUGCUUCAAUGUUAUGGCAUUAUGGUUCGAGGAAAUAAGAAGAGAAGGCACAAAGUGAUGAUGAAGCACUAAUGAGGCCUCCUGUGGAAAUUGGGAUAACAAAAGAUACUGAAGUGCAUGAUAUUUGAUGUUUAUUUUGAAUUAGUUGUAUUUGACAACAGUUAACUUUAGGUGGACUAACAUUUAGUUGAAUAUUUCUUAGGUUUCAUAUGUUACUUUAAUGUUGAUAGUCGAUAUUUUAAUGUUUAUUUGAUGCGGUAUUUAGAUUUUUGAUGUUUAAACUAUAAAUAAAAUUUUUCGUGGUUAGUUUAUGUUACUGUUAUGCAUAUGUUGGUAUGAAUAUGUGGUUUCCAGUUUUGAAUAUAUUUUUGAGUAAUUAAUAUGUAUAUUCCAGUUACUAUAUGUAUUUUUUAUAUAUGGAUUUGUAUUUUCCAUUUUAUGCAUAUGUAUUUUGAGUAAUGCAAAAGUAUUUUAAGUAAUGCAUGUUUUUUUUUUCCAAAUAUGCAUAUGUAUACACUGGGUUUGUUGUUGUUGUAUAUAUAUGUAUAUACAUUUGUCUGAAUAUGUAUUUUUUGGCUAUGCAUAUGUAUAUGUAUUUGUCCAGUUUAAUACAUAUGUAUUUAACCAGAUAUACAUAUGUAUUUAUGAGUUAUCCAUAGGUUUUUUUCAAUUAUGCAUAUAUAUCUAUGAAUAAUGCAUAUUUAUGUAUGAUUAAUGCAUACAUUUUUUUUUAAAAAAAUAUGUAUUUAAAGUUUUGAUUACGUAAUUGAUAUGUCUUUAUAUGUAUUUUUUAUUUUUUUUAUUUAUUACAUAAAUUUAUAUUAACUUAUUCUUAGUUUUUAUAGAUGGGCAUAGGAACUUAAUAGAUUCUCAUAUGUAUUUUUUCAGAUUAAAAAUUUGGUAAGUGUGGCUUCCAGUUUCUUAGGUUUAAAUCAAUGAUGUUAUAUGUCUUGUAUAAUAUAUUCAUAAUGAAUUAAGUUAAGCAAGUUCAUUAAAAAAAUUACAACAAUUUAACUAUAACAAGUUCAAUAGCAUCAAACAUUUUUAUCAAAAUUUAGAAUCAUAUAAUUAUCAGUGAAAAAAUGAAGCAAUUAUUUUUUGAUAUAAUGCUACAUCAUGAACAGAUCAAUAUUUAAACUAUAACUGCAACAUUUAAACUCUAACAAUAUUAUUGUACAUUUUUCCAUAGACGCCACAUACAUGCAUAAUGUGGUACAUCAUUGUACACACCACCAACAACUUUUAUGAUACUUGCAUUACGAUCAGAAACUACACACAUAUGUUUUCUUUCACCGUAUGCUUCCUUCAGAUUCUUAAAGAACUAAGUUCAAGAUGCAUCAUUUUUAGAAUCAAGUACACCAUAUGCCAAAAAAAAUAUAGGUCCUGCAUAUUGAAAAAAUACAUAUAAGAAUACAUGAUUUUUACACAUAAAAUACUGUAUAUGUAUAUUAUAAAUACAUACAGCUGGAAACAUAUGAAACUGUCAGUGAACUAAUAAACAUACUGCAAUUCAUAUUAUAAAUACAUUCAGCUGGAAACAUAUGUAAUCUUCAUAAUGUUGUUCAUAUGUCCAUCUACAAGAGUGUUUAACAAGAACAAGUAUGCUUCCCAUUGUCAAUCUCCAGAACACAAAAAAACAGUAAAAAUAAAAUUAAAUAUCAAAUACGUACUAUAUACGACAACUAAUUCAUAUAUACAAAAUUGCAAAAUAAUUUCCAACGGAAAGAAAUCUUUUAUUUGAAUACUAUAAUAUUAAAUUAAAUUAAUCAAACUCUGUAAAAUAAUUGCAACAUUUGUACUAUAACAAAUUAACAAGUUCAAAAUUUAGAAUGACAUAAUUCUUAAUAAAAAAAUUCAGCAAUUGUAUUUUGACUAAAAACAUUAUCAAACUUAUCAUUUGUUGUAUUUCCUACAUGAAUGCCUUUUGUGACCUUUAAACCCACAUGAACUACAAUAAUUUUUAGUUUUCUUUCCGAACAUAUCUCUUCCUGAUUUACCACGAACAAUGCAUCAUGUGACUUUCUAAUUUUUUUUUUCACAUUAUCCCAUAUAUGCCAUAUACAUGCAUAAUAUGGAAUAUUAUUAUACACAUUAGCAACAACUUUUAUGAUGCUUGCAUUACGAUCGAAAACUAUGCACAUAUAUUUUCUUUCACCAUAUGCUUCCUCCGAAUUCUCAAAGAAUCAAAACCAAGAUGCAUCAUUUUCAAAAUCUAAUACACCAUACGCUAAUGGAAAUAUAUGUCCUGAACAUGGAAAAAAUACAUAUAAGGGUACAUGAUUUAUACACAUAAAAUACUGCAUAUGUAUAUUAUAAAUACAUACAACUGUAAACAUAUGUAACUGUCAAUUAACACAUAAACAUUAUGCAUAGCUAUAAUAUAUAUACAUAUACCUGGAACCAUAUCUAAAUCCUAGUGAACACAAAAAAAGAUUGCAAUGUAUAUUAUAAAUACAUAUAACUUGACACAUAUAUAACUGCCAGUGAUUUCAUAAACAUACUACAUAUGUAUAAUAUAAAUACAUAUAGCUGGAAACAUAUGAAACAGACAAUGAACACAUAAAUAGACUGCAUACGUAUAUUAAACACUUUUACAGGUCAAAUCUACAUUAAUGUGAGAAACCAGUAGGGUGUAGAGUUGGCUAUACAAAGCAUUUAUGUCUAACAAUAUCAAUCACUAAUGUAAUAUUCAUAUUGUUGUUCAUAUGUCCAUCUACCAGAGUGUUUAACAAGAACAGGGAUACUUCUCAUUGUCAAUUUUCAGAACACUAGAAAAAGUAAAAAUAAAAUUAAUUAUCAAAUACGUACUUUAUGCAAUAAAUAUUUCAUAUUUAUAAAAAUGUAAAACGAAUUCCAACAAACAGAAAUAUUUUUUUUUUGAAUACUAGUUAUCAUCGACUAAAAUUCAAAUUUAUCCUAUAACAAUUGUAUCUCAAAUUUCAAUUAAAUAACGACAUGGAUAAAUUUUAAUUUGAAAAAAAUAAUUCGCUCAAAAUAUUUUAUUCGAGAACUGAUAGAAUUCAUAUACAAUCUCAAAUUUUGGAAUUCCACGACUGUUACGCAACUUUGUUGCAAGUUUUUCAGCAAUUCUUGCAAUACUUUUUUUUUAUAAAAUUCACAAACAACAUCAAGUUUGUUUAUUGAUACCUGUAAUUGGAGCGUUGUAUUUUUAAUAUUUUUUUCAGAAUUUCAGACGACCAUCAACAAUAUUGGAAGCACUUUGUUUUUUGAAUUUCCUUUGAGUUAUUGUUUAUGAAAAACGUUGUUUGAAUUUGCAUUAUAUUGAUGUAAAUUAAUGGUUGAGGUAAAAAUAAAAGAGUCAUAUAAGGUAAAGGAAUCUGUUUAAUUAAAUGUGGCAUAAAUUAAGGAACAAUUUCAUCCCUUAUUUAACUCUAACUGAUUAAAGUUAAAGAAGGAACGAAUACCUUAUUAGUAUAUGUAUUUUUAUAGCAACCUUUUACUAAAAUACAGAAUACAUAUUUUUAUUUUUCAUAAUUUUGAAACUGUUGCUAUAAAAGUUAUAAUUAAGGCUCCACAAUUGCUAUUUCAGAAUUUUCCCCUUUAAAGAUAAACAAACAAAAUAUGGACUUGUAUAGUGAUUGCCUGUGUAUUAGUCCAAAUGUGUGAUUCCUUCGUAAAUCAAAUUGGGCUUAUAGAGUAAAUGGGAUGAUUGUAGGAAGAACCAUCUGAUACUUAAAAAGAGAAAAAUUUUCAUAAAAGCAUAACUUAAGUUACUAAAAUUACUAAAAAUUUCUUCACUUUUUAAAAAUUUAUAUAUAUAUCCUAACUUUUAUUAUUUUAACUAAAAGUGAAGAUACAUCCUAAGUACAUUCAUUUUUAUCGGACACAACUUUACUAACUCAAUAAACCAUUUCUUCCUCCUUCAACAACAGAUUUGGUGGUGUGUUUUCAUCCCACAAUUUUCUCUAUUUCUUCACAUUUUUUAAUUAAGGAAUUUUUUCUCAAAUUCAUCUUUUCUAUCUUCUUAUCAAGCUCAAUGGUUUUGUAAAAAAUUAAAUUAGACAACAUAUUAAAUUGAGUCUAAGGUUAUUUUAUUUACAUUAUUGAAUAAAGUCUUAGUUAUCAAUUUUGUAAGACGAUAUCAGUUCAAUUCACAAAAUGAAUAUAGAUUUAGGACCAUCUUUUAGUCUUGAAAUCUCUUAAAUAGAAAACAUUAAAUAUUGUGAUGAUGUUGUUAAUUUUGUUCCUGGUGUUUUGACAAAGAUUCUAAUAUUUUGAUGAAAAUAGUGUCAAACACAAAAACGAUCCUGCUGCAACCAAGUUAUGCAAAAAAGGCUAAGAAAAAGGAGUGCAUGAUUCUAAGAAAAGAGGAUCCACCUGUUUGGGAGGUGUAGUUCGUGCAAAAAAAAAAGAAGAGUUGUCAAAGUUACAAUUAAAGACAUUUCAAAGGUAUUGCAUGUUUGUUAUUGGGCAAUAAUUUAGAUCGGGAUACAUUUUUGGAUACAUCUGAUACUUUUCUUAAUCUUGCAUCUAUAUGUAUGUAACUGUGUACGUUUAUGUAUCUCUCAUUUUACUUUGUUUGUGUGAAAUAUGCAUAUGAAUAAAGUAUUAAUAAUUAUAGUAUGUAUCUCUCGUUAUUUAUUUUUGGGUGAAUUAGGUAUGUGAGAGAUACAUACUAUUACAAUAAAAGAUACAUUUAAUGUUGUCAUAUGUAUAAUAUCUAUCUAUUACAAGCUAUGUUAAAAUAUAUAUAUAUAUAUAUUAUAUUUAUGUUUUUCGUAAUCUCACAUGUAUCAUAUAUCUCUUACAAAAUUAAUUAUUUUUUUGUAUGUCAUUUUUUAGGGGAUAUGUUAUAAAGUAGAUUUCACCUCAUCUUUUAAGAUUUGGAAGCUCCUAUAAUGCAAAGUUCAAAGAUGAUUUAAAAUAGAUUAUCGGACAAGAAGUACUUGACUUGUUUGUUCAUAUGAUUUAUUGGGCGUUAUCUCAAUAUUUCACUGUUCAAUUAUAUUGGAAAAAUUAAAAAAAUAUAUUCUUAUACUUGAGAUUCAGCAAAACAAUUCAGAUAAAAUGCAUGUCUUCGUCAAGGGCGAUGUUCUUAGAUUUUCACCUUUGAAUUAGCCUUACUUACUGAUUUAAAAUGCACCGUUGAUAUAGAAUAUUUCAUAUAGCAUGAUUCAUCUCCUAACAGCCUGAUGCAGAAGUAUUUCUCACAGUCAACAAAUGGUAUUGAUAAGCAAACAUUGGUACAACGUUUUCUCAUGAGAAAUUUUGAUAACAAUUAAGAUAUACUCCAGAUGGCCAUAUUAUACUUAAUCCAUACAUUUUUAGUUUUUAGUUAAAAAAUGUACAUUUCCAUUGUCAGAUUUAAAGAUGAUCGAGGAUGGAAAGUAUGAAGAUUUUCCUUGGGGUAAAGUGGUGUUCUUAAAGUUGAUGACUUCUUUGAGACAAUUCUAUUAUGUAGAGAAGCAGUUAUAUAGGUUGUGUGAAAUGUCUCAUGUGCUUAAUUUGUGAAUGCUUGAAAGCUGCUCCAAAGUUGAAAAAAUCACUGCAGUUCAAUUGGAUAAUCGGAUCUCAAAGAUUUUGAAUUGAAAUAUUGUUGCAGUCAGGCCGCAAUACAAUCACUUUAUGUCCGAAAAUUUAGCAAGGUAAUUUAGUCAUGGUUAAAAGUUUAGACAUCUUUUGUAUCUAUUAAUAAAUAUCAUGAAUCAUUAUUAAUUAGAAUACAUAUUUUGUUUAACUUUUACAUUUUAAUUCAUCUGAGUUGAGUAUUUUAAUACGAGUAGGUGUAUGUAUUUUAUACCCUGCGAUGAAUUAAUUUUGUUUAAUUUUUUUUUUUGUGUUUGUUUAUAAUUUUUAGCACAGUACCUAUAUUUCAACCUUGUACCUAUGGUGGAGGAUCUCAAUAAACUAGACUUAUUUCUAGUUACUACUGCUUCAUUUGAUCCUUCAAUAGAGAGUAUACCGUCAACGUCUUCAGGUAAGAAAAGGCAAAUGAAACCAAACUUACUAAAGAACCUGUAUCCACCCAUCAUGAUGUUUUUGAGGAUUUCAAUACUUCACCUUCUGGGCAUCUGAUUAAGAAAACACCGCAUGUAUCAGUUAUUAUUUCUGCCUCUUUAGGCAAGAAAAAAUAGUUUCAGUCCAAAAAAAGAUACCCGUUGAAGGAGAAAUUGAGGCAAUUGCUUCAAAAGAAAAUCGUUCAGACAAGACACAUAAAUCUUUCAUUGAUCUCAUUUCCUACACUGGUAAAGAAACUUUAGAUUCUCAUUUUCAAGAUCAAUGAAUAUCACCACAUAAAUUGAAAAAAGUGAUUGAAGAAUCUGCCAAUAAACCUCUGAAUCAAUCAAUGGUAGAGUCUGACUAAGAAUUAUUUAAGUCAGAGGUGAAGUCAUUUAUCAAUACCUAUAUAAACAUCAUUUUAAUAAUGUCCAUUCAAUCUAUAACGACCCACCAGUCGUUUGUGAAAUUUUCUCAUCUUUCCUAUUUUAGCUUUUCCCAUAGUUUAUGUGCGGGAAUUAUGACUCAAGGGAUAAGUAGUACCAAUUCUUGAGGUGUUCAAAAGUAAUUAAUUCAUUAGUUGGAUUAUUGGGUUCUAAUUAAGUUAAGCUUGAUAAUGAUCAAGUUCGAUCAAGAUGAUCCCGAAUAAGUGUUUUAGUGAUUCCAAUAGGUUUGGAACAUACUUUUUAGUCAAUUUACAUAUUUAAUUUAUUUAUAAAGAGUUUUGAAAAUUUUUUGAGAAAUUAUUAAAAGUUUUGGGUAUUAAAUAAUACAUUUAAUUAGAAGUAGUGGGUCAAAACUACAACUAUUUUCUUCUCAUAUAACCCACGCUAGUUAAGUCAGUAAAUUUAACUUUGAACUGUAGCAGAAGUUGAAACAAGUAGGGUUCAUGCAUAGUUGAGUUGGGAAGAAGAGGUUCUCGACAACUUAAGAUUAGUUUAAUUUAAGUUAAUUAAGUCACAAUAACAACAGCAUGGCAAUUUGUGUAUGUGAACGCCAUAGGCUUCUAUUUCUUGGAAAGGAAUUAGAAAGAUUCCUUUACAAUAAUGACUAUAAGUAAUCAUUAAUUAUAAAGUUAUAUAAUGGAAAGGAAAAGAAAAAAAAUCCUUGGCGAAAUCACCGAUCAAUAAUGAUGAGACAAUGAUGAUAAUGAAUAGCAGUAUAGUUACUGGUUUUUGUUGCUGCUAGGUUAAGAUCCGAGGAUUUUCUCAAAAAAUUAUCAAACACACACGAUUUGUAUUUUUUUAAAUUAAUUUGGUUGUAACUUUGGGGUUUUUAAAGCUAAAAUUUAUAAAACAAAUGUCAUUAGAUUCAUAUUUUUAUGGGGAUUAUAUAUUGGAACAGAUUUUGAACAUUCCAUAACUUUGAGGAAGGGCAAGACACUUGCAGACUAACUAUAUUCGGAAUUAUUGGUUUAGGUAUGUUACGAUUUAAUUAGAUUUUAGACUUGAUUUAAUUGUGUGUAUGCUCCUAAAUUGGAUACUUGUUGAUUGGUAUUCGAACAUGCUUGAAAUUGAUAAUGUUUGGAUUGUUGACGUGUGUCUAAAUAAUUAUUAAAAAUUUACUUGAUGGAAUUAUUCUAUGACUUUAAGUGUACUUGUAAACUUGGUACAUCGUAUUGUAUGCUGUGAGGUAGUGUAAAUUUGAUAGGGAGAUUACUUAUUUAUGGUGGAUUGGGUACCACGCCGAUAUGAAUAAGUAUAUUGAUAUUACUUGUUUAUGAUAGAUCGGGUACCACGCCGGUACAAAUAUCUAUAUUGAUAUUAUUUAUUUAUGGCGGAUCGGGUACCACGGCGGUACAGAUAUGUAUAUUGAUAUUACUUGUUUAUGGUGGAUCGGGUACCACACCGGUACGAAUAUGUAUAUUGAUAUCACUUGUUUAUGAAGGAUCGGGUACCACACCAGUAUAUAUAUGUAUAUUGAUAUUACUUAUUAUUGAGGAUUGGGUACCACCCCAUACGGUAUAUGAACAUAGUUUGUUCCCUACAAGUCAUGACUAUUUAGGCAAAAAUAAGUCCAAUAGCAUGUGUGUAUAUAUUUGUGUUGAUUCUGUGGAUGUUUACAGUAUGGUUGAUACUCUUGAUGGUUAUGCGGCUUAUUUAUGAGCAUUGUUUGACCUGUUAUUGUUGUAUUGUUGAUUCAUUGAGUAUUUGUUAUUUGAUGAUGCCUGUCUACUUGUUAUUUGAUUUAUGAUGCGUACAUGUUAUUAAAUUGAGUUGGCCUAUGAUACCUACUAGUACAUAGUAGUUUGCACUAAUACUACCCUGUACUCUUCUUUUGUUGAGUUCAGAAAGUAUUCCAGAUGCUCAGGCAUGACCUCAGCUCUAGAGUUUAAUGGUAGAUCAUGAUCCAAGGGUGGCCACUCCGUCUCCAGGCUGCCAUGGGUUAUCUUAUUUGUUUUUGUCCAUUUUUUGGGCAAUGAAACAUUCUUUAUUUACUUUAUUUAUGGAAAUCUCUUUUAUGCUUAAUCUUUCUUAGGAGUUCUUGUAUGAUGACUUUUGGGUCUUGGGGAUUUCAUUGAUUACUUUGUUUAUUUUUGUAUUGAUAAUGAUUUGCUCUAGAUUAUUGUUAUUAAGUUGGUUUAUGAUAAUAUUAUUUUAAUCUUGACUAAGUGAUUGGGUAAUGGUUCGGUUUAGAUGGUUCUACCACUGGAAAAUUAUUGUGGGUAUCACUCAUAGACUUUUGGGUUGUGACAAAGUUGGUAUCAGAACCCUAGGUUUGUCGAUCUUAUCGUACAAGAACAUGUCUAGUAGAGUCUUACGAAACGGUAUGGAGACGUCUGUACUUUUCUUCGAGAAGCUAUAAGACAUUAGAAAAAUUUAAAUUCUUCUUUCUUACAUGCUAUUACUUGAUUGCAAUUGGUAUCUGACGAUUCCAAUUCAUAUUUGAUGAUUCCAAUUGGUAUCUGACUUCUUUCACUCUUAUUCUCAUAGAUGGUAAGAAAAAGAACAAAUGGAAUAUGAGUUGAGGUGCCUGAACCGACUGCUGAGGCUUAAGUUCUGGGUAGAGGAUAAGCAAGGAGAGGAUGAGGAAGAUUAUGGAGAGUUACGCCCACCAGAGGCAGAGCUCAGGCUGCAAGACCAGCUAGAGAGAGGCCAGUAUCUUCUCCCCCACAUAAGAAUUUUCUUGAGUUUGCAUAGGAUGAAGCUAUGUUAGUACAGAAUGAACGAGUGAUAGUUCAUGAUGGGUUGCAUCAGUUCAGGAAGGUGUUACUCUGAUUCAGAUGUCUUUCAUUGUGAUUCAACAGGUUCUAAGUUUUUUGAGUAAUUUGACAGGAACAGGGGCUAUGCCCGCAGCACUAGCAGUCCAGCAUCUGAGGAUUCAGCAUACUACUAUUGUAACUUCUCGGAUAGAAGAAGUGUAAGGAUCAGAUAUUUUUCCAAGACAGCUAGUGGGUCCAGUAAUGAUCAGAGAUGAACAUGAGUUGUUCUGUAAGUUUAUCAAGAUGAAGCCUUCUAUUUUUCAUGGAACCGAGUCUGAGGAUGCAUACGAGUUUAUUAUUGACUGUCAUAAAAGGUUUCAUAAGGUGGGUUUAGUUGAAAGGUAUGGUGUAGAGUUGGUUACUUUUCAGUUUCAGGGGGAUGCUAAGAUGUGGUGGAGAGCUUAUGUAGAGUGUAGGGAUGCAAGUUUGCCUCCCUUGACUUGUACUCAGUUUUACUCUAUUUUUCUUGAAAAGUACGUGCCUCGUACUUUGAGAGAUAGAAAAAAGAAUGAGUUUACUAAUCUUAAGCAGGGGAACAUGUUAGUUGUGUCCUAUGAGGCCAAAUUUCAUUCAUUGUAUUGAUGUAUAUUUUAUUUACUGAAAAUUGAGGAGGAGAGGAUCCAUCUUUUUAUGAAGGGUUUGAAUAUAGGUCUCUAUCUUUCUGCUCUCCAGAUGACAUCUUUAGGUAGGUUUUUCCAGGAUAUGAUUGAUUUUGUCAAGAAAGUGGAGGGCGUAAGGCAAGAGGGUUAUGCCAACGUAGCAAAAAAAAGGCCCGCAGAGGAGGCAGUUUUAAUGGUUCUUAUUCUAGAGGCCAGAGUUCACAGGGAUACCCUCCUGUCCUAUUCAGUCAGUGAUACAGGUGUCUGUUAGUGGUCCUUUAGGAGCUAGCCAAUUAUUUUCAUACUUUGGUGGUUACCUUACUUCAUCUUCGUCAGCUCAGUUGCCUACCUUGGAUCAUUUAUGUUAUGAGUGUGGUGGAGUUGGUCACAUCAGAAGGCUUUGUCCUAAUGUGAGGCAGUUGGGUCAGUCUAGCUAGCAGCAAACUCCUAGAGAUCUAGUUCUAGCAGGUAGGAGAAGUAGUGGUAAUGGUAGAGGUCAUCCACAGGGUGGUCGUGGUAGUCAUCAGACAGGUAGGGGUGGUAAUCAACCCUAUCAAGGAACUUCUCAGCUUGGAAGGGGUGACGUUAAGAUUGGUGGUAGGGCCCAUAUCUAUGCCUUUCCAGGAAGGCCCGAGGUAGAGGCAUUAGACACUAUUAUUAAAGGUACUAUUCUUGUUUGUGAUCGGAUGACCACUGUAUUAUUUGAUCUUGGCUCUACUUUUUCGUACGUAUCUACUAAUUUUGUUGUAGGAUUGGACAUAGUGUGUGAUUUGCUUGACUUUUUGAUUCACGUGUCUACUCCUAUUUAUGAUUUUGUUUUUGUUGAUAGGGUUUAUCAUUCUUGUUUUAUUAUGUUUAUGGGGUAUCAAACUUGGAAAGAUUUAGUGAUUCUAGACAUGGUAGAUUUUGACAUAAUUUUAGGUAUGAGUUGGUUGUCUUCGUAUCAUUCUAUAUUAUAUUAUCAUGCUAAGAUAGUGACUGUGGUUAUGGCUAUAUCGAGAAUGGAUUGACUUGAGUAGGAGGGUGAUUAUAGUCCUACUCCAAUGAAACUUAUUUCCUUUUUACAUGCAAAGAGGUUAAUUGGGAGAGGUUUUUUGGCCUUACAUGUGUGUGCUCCAAGAGGUUUUUCCUUCAAAUUUUCUUAGUAUGCCACCAGACCGUGACAUUUAUUUCUGUAUUGAUCUAGAGCCAGGUACUCUUGUUAUUUCUAUUCCUCCCUAUAGGAUGGCUCCAAAUGAGUUGAGGGUGAUAAAAACUCAGUUACAGGAUUUGUUGUGUAAGGGUUUUAUUCAUCCGAGUGCCUCUCCAUGGGGUGCUCCUAUCUUGUUUGGGAAGAAGAAGGAUGGUAGUCUUCAUAUGUGUAUAGACUACAGGCAGUUGAACAAAGUUAUAAUCUAUAAUAAGUAUCCUUUAUCCCGUAUCGUUGAUUUGUUUGAUCAGUUGUAGGGUGCAUCCAUAUUUUCUAAGAUUUAUUUCUAUGGGUAUCAUCAACUUAAGAUUCGGCCAGACGAUAUUCCUAAGACUAUUUUUUGAAUGAGGUAUGGGAACUAUGAGUUUCUUAUGAUGUCUUUUGGGCUGACUAAUGCCCCAGCUACUUUUAUGAGUUUGAUGAAUGAGGUAUUUAAACUCUAAUUAGAUUAUUUUGUGAUUGUCUUUAUUGAUGAUAUUUUAGUUUAUUCUAAGAGUAAAGUUGAGCAUGAGAAUCACUCAAGAAUUGUUUUAGGUUUGUUAAAAGAGAAAAAACUUUAUGCAAAGUUUUCUAAGUGUGAGUUCUGGUUGGAUUAUGUAUACUUUUUGGGGUAUGUGGUUUCGAAAGAAGGGGUGAUGGUAUACCCGCGGAAGAUUGAAAUGGUUAAGAAUUAAGCUAGGCCUACUUUAGUGAUGGAGGUUUGUAGAUUUAUUGGCUAAGCAAGUUAUUACCGCAGGCUCGUGAAGGGGUUUGCUUCUAUUACUACUUAUAUGACACGGUUGACUCAAAAGGAUAUACCUUUUAUUUAGUCUGAUAAGUGUGAGGAGAGCUUUCAGAAUCUCAAGACCUUAUUGACUACCUAUCCUAUUCUUGCCUUACCGAUAGAGGUUAAGGAUUUUAUUAUUUAUUGUGAUACCUCAUAUUCUGGUUUAGAUGUUGCGUUGAUGCAGGAAAGGAAUGGUAUUGCUUAUGCUUCAAGGCAAUUGCAGACCAAUGAAAAGAAUUAUCCCACUCAUGAUUGGAGUUAGCUGAUGUGGUUUUUGCUCUUAAGACAUAGAGGCAUUACUUGUAUGGGGUUCAUUAUAAAGUGUUCACUGAUCACCACAGUUUACAGUAUGUGUUCAUGCAGAGGGAUUUGAAUUUAAGAUAGCGUUGAUGGAUGGAGUUGCUUAAAGAUUAUGAUAUCACCAUUCUCUAACAUCACUGAUGCAUUGAGUAGGAAGUCAACAAGUAUGGGUAGUUUGGAUUAUUUGAAUGUUAGCAGGCGUUCAUUGGCUAGAGAGAUUCAGACUCUAGCUAAAAAGUUUAUUCAACUUGAGGUGACUGAGAGAUGAGGAAUUCUAGCCAGCACUGAAGCAAGGUCCAUAUUUCUUGAUCAAAUUAAGGCUAAACAAUUUGAGGAUGCUAAGUUGAGCAAGUUUUAUGAUAAGGUUUUGCAGGGUGGGGCCAAAGAGGCCAUUCUUGAUGGUGAUGGUGUAUUACGGAUUAAGGGGCGAGUUUGUGUACCCCAUGUUGAUGAUUUGAUUCUUACUAUUAUAGUUGAGGCUCAUUAUUCGAACUAUUCUAUACAUCCUAGAAAGACUAAGAUGAAUCAUGAUUUGAGGAAGCAUUAUUGGUGGGGCCGAAUAAAGCAUAAUAUAGAUAAUUUUACUACCAAAUUUUGGAGUUGCCAGCAGAUAAAGUACGAGCAUCAUAAGCCUUGUGGUACUCUUCAGCGGAUGCCCAUCCUUGAAUAGAAAUGGGAGGGAUACCUAUGGAUUUCGUUGUUGGUCUUCCCAAUACUUUGGGGAAUUAUGACUCUAUAUGGGUUAUUGUGGAUAGGUUGACAAUGUCUGCACAUUUCAUCUUGAUUCGGGUGACUUAUAAUGCAGAAAAGUUGACCAAGAUUUAUCUUUGGUUGCAUGGGGUCUCAAUUUCUAUUAUCUCAAAUAAGGGUACUCAAUUUAUCUCUAAAUUUUGGAAGAAGUUGUAUGAGGAGUUGGUAAGAGGUUGGACCUUAGUACAACUUUUCACCCUCAGACCAAUAGGCAGUCUUAAUGGAUGAUUCAAGUGUUGAAGGAUAUGCUCCAUGCGUGUGUGAUGGAUUUAAGAGGUCAUUGGGAUCAGUUUCUACCUUUGGCCGAAUUUGCAUAUAAUAACAAUUAUAAUUCGAGUAUUAAUAUGGCACCAUUUGAGGCAUUGCAUGGGAGGGGGUGUAGAUCUCUCGUUGGGUGGUUUGAUACUUUUGAGGUAAGACUGUGAGGUACUGAUCUGUUGAAAAACUCAUUAGAAAAGUCAGGUUCAUUCAGGAGAAACUUAUAGUGGCUCAAAGCAGACAAAAGAAGUAUGUGGAUUGAAGGUUAGAGAUAAGCACUUUAUGGAGGGUGAGCAAGUGUUGCUCAAGGUAUCUCCUAUGAAGGGUGUCAUGUAUUUUGGGAAGCUAGGUAAGAUCAGUCCUAGAUAUAUUUGACCUUUUAAGAUUCUUCAAGGUGUGGGGUCGGUGGCCUAUAUUGGCAUUGCCUCUGAGUUUGUCGGGAGUUCACCCUGUGUUUCAUGUAUCUAUGUUAAAGAAGUUUCAUGGUGAUGGUAAUGACAUAAUUCAUUGGGAUUCAGUCUUGUUAGAUGAAAACCUCUCUUAUGAAGAGGAACCUAUUUCUAUUCUUGAUAGAGGUGUUCGUAAGUUAAGGACUAAAGAGAUGGCAUCUGUAAAGGUCCAGUGGAAGAAUUGUCCUAUUGAGGAGGCCACUUGGGAGACCAAAGCAGACAUGAGUCCAAGUAUCCACAUCUUUUUGUGGAUUAAGGUAAUUCCUUGUUUUUCCUUCUUGUCUUGUGUUUUCCCGUUCUGGGAUGAACGGUUGUUUAAUUGGUAUCUGAUGUAACGGCUCUCCCGAUCGUUUGUGAAAUUUUCUCAUCUUCCCUAUUUUUUCUCUUCCUGUAGUUUAUGCAUGUGAAUUAUGACUCACGGGAUAAGUAGUACCAAUUCUUGAGAUGUUCGAAAGUAAUUAAGUCAUUAGUUGGAUUAUUGAGUUUUAAUUAAGUUAAGCUUGAUAAUGGUCAAAUUCGAUCAAGAUGGCCCCGAAUUAGUGUUUUAGUGAUUCUAAUAGGUUUGGAACAUACUUUUUAGUCAAUUUACAUAUUUAAUUUAUUUCUACGGGGUUGUGAACAAAUUUUGAGAAAUUAUUAAAAGUUUUGGGUAUUAAAUAAUUAAUUUAAUAAGAAGUAGUGGGUUAAAACUACAAUUAUUUUCUUCUCAUAUAACCCACAUUAUUGAAGUCAGUAAGUUUAACUUUGAACUAUAGCAGAAGUUGAAACAAGGAGGGUUUACGCAUGGUUGAGUUGGGAAGAAGAUGUUCUCGAUAACUUGAGGUUAGUUUAAUUUAAGUUAACUAAUACGCAAUAACAACAACAUGGUAAUUUGUGUAUGUGGACGCCAUAGGCUUCUGUUUCUUGGAAAGGAAUUAAAAAGAUUCUUUUACUAUAAUGAUUAUAAGUAAUCAUUACUUAUAAAAUUAUAUAUUGGAAAAAAAAGAAUAGCAAAUCCUUGGCCAAAUCACUGGUCAAUCGCGAUGAGACAAUGCUGAUAAUGAAUAGUAGUAUAGUUACUGGUUUUCGUUGCUACUUGUUUUAGAUCUGAGGAUUUUCCCAAAAACUUAUCAACCACACAUGAUCUAUAUUUUUUUAAAUUAAUUUGGUUGUAAGUUUGAGAUUUUUAGAGCAAAAAUUUAUAAAAUCAAUGUCAUUAGAUUCAUAUUUCUAUGGGGAUUAUAUAUUGGAACAAAUUUUGAAUGUUCCGAAACUUUGAGGAUGGGCAAGGUACUUGCAGACUAACUAUAUUCAGAUUCAUUGGUUUAGGUAGGUUACAGUUUGAUUGGAUUUUUGACUCAAUUUAAUUGUAUGUAUGCUCCUAAAUUGGAUACUUGUUGAUUGAUAUUCAGACAUGAUUGAAAUUGAUGAUGUUUGGAUUGUUGAGGAAUGUAUAAAUAAUUAUUACUUGAUGGGAUUGUCUUAUGACUUUAAGUGUACUUGUAAACUUGGUACAUCGUAUUGUAUACUGUGAGGUAAUGUAAAUUUGAUAUUGAGAUUACUUAUUUAUGGUGGAUUGGGUACCACGCCGAUAUGAAUAAGUAUAUUGAUAUUACUUGUUUAUGAUAGAUCGGGUACCAAGCCGGUUAUUUAUGGAGGAUUGGGUACCACGCCGGUACAGAUAUGUAUAUUGAUAUUACUUGUUUGUGGUGGAUCGGGUAUGUAAGGCCACGUAAGAUGCUAGGUUCGUUUUAGCUCAUUCUUGCCUGUAGAAAGGGGUCCUGGACUUAGAAUAUUUUACUAAGUGUUAGGACUUAGUCAUUUCUAGAGCCCUCAAACUUUGAUGAAUUUUAAUUCGACCUUCCCGGUCUUAAAACACAAAUUUCCAAGUUGAUUAAUUUUCAGAGCCACUUGUAGGUCAUCUCAGGCGAGUUUCAGAGUUUUUGGACUAGCGUAAGGUUGAGUUUGGAUGUCCUAAACAGUAAGGGGUCGCGAUAGGGCAGUACCAUGAGGUCCAGUUGACCCCAGGCUCAGUGUCGCGCCGCGAGGGCUGCUUGACUCGAGCAGGGGUCGCGCUGCGAGGGUCGCUUGACCCAAGAAGGGGUCGCGGUGCGAUGGGGACCCCAUCUAGUUUUUUUUAUCAGGGUUUGUGGGGGAAAAUAGGUCAUUUUUCCUUACAUUAUUCAGCCUUAACACGAGAUUAAGCUUCCAAAAGGGCAAAUUACAUUCAUUAUUCACAAAUCUCAAGAAAUAAACCCUAGUUCAUCAAGCUCAAGAUCAAGUCCCAAGAAUUCACCAUAAUUCUCACGAAAUUGAUAAUUAAGGUAUGUUAGAUGUUCAUCCUUGGGUCUCCUUUCACUCUUGGAGUCAAGUAACCUUUUCGAAAACUUAAAUUAUGAUUUCCAUGUUAUAACUUGAAUUAUGUCCAUGUUUGAGUGUUGUAUGGAUUUCAAGAUGAGAUCUUUUAUGGGUUCCAUGAAAUUAUGUUAGCAUGUGUGUUGAAUUAUGAAUCUUUCAUGUCAAAACCCUUGAAUUUGCCAGUUUAAGUUGUAUUUAUGAUACUUAUGUGUUGUUCAAUAUCAUGUGCAUUAAUUAUGCUCCCCAAGUGUUUGAUAGAAUGUCCAUGUGAAUUGAAUAGUAUACUCAUGACAUGUUAUCAUGUGUUCUCAUUCAUGUACAAGUUCAUGAACUCCAACUGUUUUACAAAUGACUCAAUGAAUGAGUUAUGAACAAUUGACUAUUGUUACGUUUUUAUCCAUUCAUGCUAUCGAUUUCUGGGGGUAUUUAUUACCCGAACUCUAGUUGUUUACUUAGUUGUAGUAGUUAUUGAAUCGUUCUAGUGAAGGACAAGAAUAACAGUACUCAUUCAAUGAUAGAACUCAAUGAACGCAAUCCAGUUCAGUCAGUCAACACGAUCAGUGUCAGUUCAGUCAAGCCUAGUAAAGUCUAAUGAUCAGUUAAGUGUCGAUUCAGUUGGGAGUAGCAUUCAGCACCGAGCGAACCUAGGGAUGGGAACAUUUCUGCCAGCAGAGGGUUUUCCCUGUGUUACAGAACUACGUAGCCAGCGUAGGGUAAGUCGUCCUUUUGCCAGACUAGGGUUGACGCGAUCAUAUAUACAUUUCAUAUGUCUUUCUACUAGUUUAAGGUUGACCCAGCAUUGUUAGUAUCCCGUGGCAAGGUGCUAACACCCUUCCAACUAGGGUCACGGGUUGGACCCCAACUCAGUCUAUAUCAGGGUAUAUCGGUUAGAUGAACACUUCCACUGUUACAGUUUUAGUCUCAGUAUUCAGUAAAGAACUCAGACAGUUCUACAUAACUAUGACUAUCAGUUAUCAGUUACUUAGCCACCAGAAAUCAGUUUAAACUUUUAGUUAUCAGUAUUCAGUUAUUAGAACUUAGUACCUCAGUCUUAUUCUAAUUCAAACAGACGUUAUAUGCGCAGUAUUGUAUAUUCAGCAUUUUCAGUAGCUACAGUUUUGCAUGUACUCUUAUUCAGUUACUUCAUAAUGUUCAUUAAGUCAGUUAUCAUCUUAUGCAUAUGAAACCAUGUAUAUCAGCCUACCUCACUUACCAUACCAGUAUAUUCAAAGUACCAGUGGCAGAUUUGGUAGUGAGUCCUCAUCCAUCUAUGAUAUUAUUUUAUUUUAGUAGUUCAGUAGUUGUUUCAGUCGGGGUUAGUUGGGAGUUUGUCCCAUCAACUCCAUAUUCAGACAGUUAGAGGCUUUCAGACUAGCAUAAUUAGUUAUUCAAUUUCUAGAUAUUAAUACCAGUACACUCUGUUAUUAUUUCAAUAUUUUGAGAACCUUAUGGCAUUUUCAGUUAUACUUCUGCAAAUGUUUUUCAGUAUUAUUAUUCAGUGCUUACAGUAGGUACCAGUCAUGGAUUAGCUUGUGAUCCUCUAGGGUCGUAAGCACCAUGUGACAUCCAGGGUGUAGACUCGAGGCAUUAAAGGGUACCACACCGAUACAGAUAUGUAUAUCGAUCACUUAUUUAUGGAGGAUCGGGUAACAUGCCAAUACAUAUAUGUAUAUUGAUAUUACUUGUUAUUGAGAAUCAGGUACCACACCAGUACGGUACAUGAACAUAGAUUGUUCCCUGCAGGUCAUGACUAUUUGGGGAAAAAUAAGUCUCAUAGCAUGUGUGUACAUAUUUGUGUUGAUUCUAUGGAUGCUUACAGUAUGGUUGAUACUCUUGAUGAUUAUGUGACUUAUUUGUGAGCACUUUUUGACCUGUUAUUGCUGUAUUGUUGAUUCAUUGAGUAUUUGUUAUGUGAUGAUUCAUGUCUAUUUGUUAUUUGAUUUAUGUUAUGUACAUGUUAUUAAAUUGGGUUAGCUUAUGAUACCUACUAGUACAUAGUGGUUUGUACUGAUAGUAUUCUGUACUCUUCUUUUGUUGAGUGCAGAAAGUGUUCUAGAGGCUCAAACACGACCUCACCUCUAGAGUUUGAUUGCAAAUAUUAAGUCAAGGGUGAGCACUCCGUCUCCAGGCUACCAUGGUUCAUCCUAUUUGAUCUUGUCUAUUUUUUGGGCAAUGAAACCUUCUUUAUUUACUUUAUUUUUGGAAAUAUCUUUUAGACAUGAUGUUAAGUGUUCUUGUACGAUGACUUUGGGUCUUGGGAAUUUUAGUGAGUACUUUGUUGAUUUUCACAUUGAUAAUGAUUUGGUCUAGAUUAUUGUUAUUAAGUUGAUUUUAUGAUAAUAUCGUUUUAAUCUUGACUAAGUGAUUGGGUAAUGGUUCGAUUUAGAUGGUUCUCCCAUAGAAAAAUUAGUAUUGGUGCCACUUAUGGCCUUUUGGGUCGUGACACAAUCGAUAAAUAUUUUUAUUAUACAAAUAUUUAUAAAUUCUACAUGUUUUACAUUUGAAGGUGGAUCAGAAAUUCAAUGAACUUCAAACACUUCUCACUGAACAAUACAUGGAUAUUAUGAAAUCAUUGAAGGUGAAGCAUGUUCAUGAGGAGAAGGUAACUUAUUUUGUUCAUCUUAUUAAAUUUGUAUAAAUUACAUUUUUAUUAUGAUCUCAUUAUUAACUUUCAGGUUGAUAUUAAAAUGGAGAGUCCACAUGGAGACCACCAUUCAGAUGGACGAGGUGAAUUUGAACGCCCUACUAAAUUAGAAUUUCAAAAGGUCUCUCCAGUACAAUCAGUUUAGAGUAAACAGAUUAAAGUCGUUCAACCACCGAUUGUUAUCAGUCAUGCACCUGAGUCGAAAAAGGUACUUGGUUAGAUAUUUAUGACAGUGACAUCAUUAAUAAUCCUAUCAAAUUUCACAUACAUUUGAUAUUUUUUUAGGAUGUUUCUGUUUCAACAUUAUAACAGUAACAUGCAGUCGUGCACUAUUUUUUAUUGGACUGAGUAGGCUUAUAUAUUUUGAGUCAUAAUAUUGAAACGUUGCACAUCACUCUCAUAUGUUAUAAACUAUAUAAUGAGUUAGGACCGAUAGUUAGUUCCUCUAAACUAUUGCUUAUUUAUUAGAAAAACUAACAUUACUGUAUAUAUGAUAAUAACAUCGCUUUGACCAAAGUUUAGUUUGAAUAGGUUGAAUAUAGCCUAAUUGGAGAUCAUACUGUUAAAUCUGAGAGUCCAAGCGACAUCAAAUUUCAUUCAAUUGAUAAGAAAUGGAUCAACAUCAAGCUAGAACCGACGCAUACCAACAACUGUCAUAAAACUCAUGAGGUAAUUUAAGUUUAUAUAUCUUAACAUAUUUUUUUUAAUUUCUAUAAAUAUUGUAUGUAUGUCAUACAUUAUUAUGGAUGUAUAUUUUAGUACAUUUAAAUGUAUCUCUUAUCGUUAAUAUGUACUUCACUCAAAAUAAAUUGCUUUAUUAUAGAUUUUUUUCAUGCUUACAAAUAUAUAUAUAUAUGAUAUAUAUACACACAUACAUAUAUAUCAUAUAUAUAUACAUAUUUAUGAAUUUCAUAUAGGUGUAUCUUUUAAUAUUGUUUGAUAUCUCUUACAAAAAUGUACUUUACACUUAUGUAUUUAUUAAUUUAAUAUUUAGCAUCUCACUCUAUCUAAAUUUUAGCUUUUAGCUUAUAACAUAUUUUAUUAAUUUACUAUAAAUAUGGUAUGAAUCUCAUUAACUCUGAUAGAUGUGACUGUUAUUACAGUUUUAUAUAUCUCUUAUUGAUACUUUGUAUCUUACAAACCAUAUAGUUUACUAUAAUGUAUCAAUUAUAUUGUUAUAAAUAUGUCUGAUGCUCAUAUGUAGCUUUUAAUAUUGAUACAUAUUUCUUACAUAAAUGCACUGUUCUCAUUAGUAUUUUAGUUGAUAAUUUAUAUGUAGCAUCUUACUCUAUCUAAAUUAAGUACUAUAAUUUUAAAUUUUAAUAUCUAUUAUACUAGCUUAUCAGCGGAUAAUAAUUUUGUAUCAAAAUUAUUUUCGAAUGUCUAUCAAAAUGUCCAGGAGUCCCAUACUGAAACACUGCUUAGUACUGUUGUUGAAGGAAGUGAAGUGCCCGUAUUAAGUGAUGUCGAUCCAAUUUCUGCUCUAUUAUUGAUAGUUUACAAACCUUUACCUUUCAUUGAGAGUCAAUAUAUGAUUAGCAAUAUAGCAAUACUAGAAGCAUUUUCAAGUCAACAGAAGUCAACAUCAGAUGAGAAAGUGACACCGACACAUUGGAUGAGACAACCAUCGAAGAUAUAUCACUCUCCUUAUUUGACAGAAUUUAGAUCUAGUUCUAAAGGAAGGGAGAAAGUUAUUUUACAUAUGCGAAAAACCUGUCCAUUCAAAGGUUAUAACAUCACAGGUACAUGUUCAACUGGUAUAACGUCAUCAUUUAGGGAAUGGAUACAAGAGGGUCUUUACAAGUGACAUGUACUUAAGUAAGUAAAUUAUUUCUUUAGCUUAAACAGAUUUUAUAACGUACAAUUAUUACAUUCUUAAUUUCAUUUUACAAGAAAGAUAGGGAUAACCACUACAAAGUUAAAUGCUCAAGAAUUAGAUUUCGACAACCUAAUUUUGUAGUUACUUUUUCAAAGUCAAAGAAUUGAUUUUACCUUAUGCACCAAGCCAACAAGUGUUGGAAUGACAAGGUAUGAUUACACGUUUUAUCUUUAAAAAACAUUAUGUAUCAUAUUUUGCAACAUCAAAUCAAACUUAAAUAUAGACAAUUUCAUAAAUUAGUUAAAAAAACAAAAGAACUCUUCCUUUCGCGAAACAGUUAAAGCUUUUAGUCUAACAUGUAUCUGAAAACACAUUCAGAUUACUUAAUUAUUAUUCGACUGUUUCAGCAUCUGGAUGUGAUAUUCUACUAUUUGUGGGAAGAAGGCAAAGAAACUAACAAAUUCAAGCUACAGAUACACAAUAGUGGACUAUUUCUUUAAGAUACACAUGGACAAGGCAUACAAAAAUUAUUAUGAAUUUAUCGGUGAGAAGGUUUUCCCUACUCAACAGGCAAUUGAAUGUUGCAGUAUUGUUUCUCAAGUUGAGGAGUCAAUUAUCAACACAAUCAGAGGAUAUAGUUUACCGGGUACUAUUCCUCGACAUCUUUUAGAUGAGGUCUAUGUUCUGAUAAAUUGCGAUGGGGAGUUUCAUUGAAUUCUGACAGUCAUUGCACUGAAGGAACGACAGAUAUGCAUCUAUAAUUAGUGUUAUCUUCAAGAAACAAAAAUUAGUCCAUUGAAGUUCAAAAGUUGGCUAUAAUGCUGCCAACAUACCUUUAGUAUAGUAAUUUGUUAGAAGAAAAGACUCCUAGUGACUAGUCAACGCUUUAUUCUUAUCAUGAAAAGACUGAAGGUGACCCAUUUGAAGUCGAAUAUGUAUUUGGGAUUGCUCAAAAACACAGACACAAUUUACAAUUAUAUUUUUAUUUUUAAUAAGUAUUUUCUUGAUAACAUAGUAACAACUAACUAUAUUAUUUUUAAAUAAAUCACUAUGAAUGUAUCAUGGAUCCUUUGUAACUGUGUUCGUCAAGUAUCUAAGUCAAGGGUUAGAAGUGCCGUCUUUUGAGAAUGUUGUUGAAUACCACCAUUUGCGACAUGUUUUUCUGUUGUAAAAUUAUCGAGUAGAUAAGACGGAGAACGAAUACUUCAUCGAGUAGAUAAGACGGAGAACGAAUACUUCAGUGACAAUUGUUUUGCCUUUUUUCAAGUUUGAAAGGUUUAAAAAUAUUUGACUUCGACUAUUUAAACCAUUUAAAAACUUUAAGAAAAUUUUAAAAUAAUUUAAGAAAUUAUAGAGUCGCCACUUGAUUUUGGAGAAAAUAUCAAGAAAAAACUAAAAAUAUUACUUAAAAGAUUCAAAACAGAAAAAAUCUUUUAGGUUUAGAAAUUUUAAGUAAGUGUUUCCUAUUAAUACUCUUGGAAGGUUGUUAAGUCACCAAGAAUAUCUGCUAACUUGUUGUUAUCCAGACUAUUUGAACUCAACUUUUGGCUAACUUUAAAAGGGAAAGUUGAUUUUUGAAAAAAAAAUUAAGAAAAAAUUUUGUUUUCAAGAUUUGUGCAAAAUAAGUUUUGACGACUUAGUGAGAAUUUUUAAGUCUAAGAAAACUAAAAAAUUAGCAUAUAAAGGGGAAAGGGGAGACUAAAAGAAUUAGGCCAUUGGGCCCAACUCCACAAACCCUGUCCUAAGCUAAUUUGUGGUUUUGGCCCAUCUUCACCUGUCCUAGUCCAAAUACUUGGACUUUUGGCCCAUAACCUGUCCUAAUCUAAUCAGUAAGGCUUUUGUCCCACAGCCUAUCCUAAAUUAUCUUUAUGGACCUUUGGGGGUCCAACAUCCGCUUCACCUAUAUUAGAUUAAAAUUUUGGCUUUGAGGCCCCAAAUAAAUGAAUAACUAAUUGAUUAAAUGAAUAAAUAAAAAUAAUACAAUAAAAGUAUUAAGACUUUUCAAGUCUCUUAGCGACCUUACAAAUGGGUUUUGACCCAUUUUCCUUCUUCGUCUAUCUUCUUGCACUCGCACGCCAUAUAAUCGACUUUUGGACUUAAUCUUCGAAGAGGUGGGCCUCAUUGUCCAUUACGACAUGCAAGGGGAAAAGGAGUCUAUUUGGAAUCCAAAGCAGAUUCAUGCAAAUAAAAAGAUACGAGAAUUAAUACGUGUUCAAAAAUUUUGCACUUAAUAGAAAAAUGAUGAAAUGAAAAAAUAGCAUCCUCAAGCAUAAAGAAAUAGUAAACUGCGAUAUUAAAACAAAUCAAAUCAUCCAACGAAAAUAAAAUUAACCCAUAUAACAAAUAAUAAGGUGGAGGCUAACUUUUAAGAAAGGGAAUCGUUUAAUUCCAACUAAGGCGACAUUAACGAUGAUUCAUACAUCCAAAUUAUGGCCAACUUUAGGGAAAACAUGUAACGACCUAUGGUUUAUCUUUCUAAGACAUCGUUGAUUCUCUUUUGAUAGUAUUAAUCAAAUAGACACAUGAAUUAAGUCUUUACACACACAAAGAGCACAUAUAACAGUCCAAAGGGAUUAAGAAAAUUAGAAUAAAAGUUUGGCAUCUCUAAAAGUGAAAUAUCAUUCAACAAUCAUACUAUACAUGACUCAAAAAUAUCUAAAUAUUUCUAUUUAGCCACAAAAAUCCGAACUUUCUCAUCAUUUUGACAAAACAACAUGCGAACAAAAAGAGAAAGAAACAUCUUGGAUGGGAAAUAAAGCUAGCACUUCAUCUCUCAUAUGAUGAUUUUGAAUUCCAUUAAAAUAAUUAGCAAGAAAAUGACAAGUUCUUGACUUAACCAAUUACUAUUUUAUUAAGGCAAAACAAACAAUAGUAACUUUUCUUUUCGACAUAAAGAAAAAAACAUUACAUGUUAAAAACAAACAUAUCUGCCAACAAUGAAUUUAAACAAAGCAUACUGUAACGCCCCUAAAAUACACCCUAGACGUCACAUGGUGCUCAAGACUACAAGUAGUCCCAAGCUAACCGUUUAAGCCUUCUAACAAGUUUGGAACUCAAUAAUAAAGAUAAACUUAACAUAAGAAAUCUUGAAAUAACUGAAUUAAUGUCUUAACUGAAAGUCUUAAACUUUAAAAUAUUGAAACAAACGCUUUUAAGUCUAUAACCAAAACAAUCAGACAAGCCUCUAUAACCAAAUGGAUCCUCGAACUAUGAGGACUCACCAAGCAUCAGGAUAUAGGUAGAGAUACUCGCAAUUAAUUACGCUGCUGAAACUGAGCACCAGAAGCUACAUUAUAAGACAAUGUAGCACCUAGACAUAUAUGUGUAUUAGUACUUUUGGAAUGUACUGGUCAUGUGGGAGUGAAUGCAUAAGUAAAACAACUCAAUGUUCACAUAAACUUUUAGAAUACAUGCUAAGUGUAAAUGACUCACCUUGGCUUAAAUCAAACAAGUACUGUGAAAUAGUAAACAUGAGUAUUAAAGCAUAAAAACAAUCUUUAUGAGUCAUAACACUUAGUUUCUACAAAAAAAACUUUACUUUUAUUCUUUCUUAGGGAGUGUCUUCUAACUAACACUCACCAUGUGAGCUGUCAUGGAGUCCAACGUCUUACCCACGGUAGGGAGAGCUCACGUUGGGGAAAGUUGUCCUACCCUUACCAUCGGAAUAGGACCUUAACUUAAGUGAUCACUAUACUUAACCCAUAUUAGGACUUUAAACCUAGGUGGCUCGUAGUUCUGGGGCAUACGACCUUGGACACAUACCUAAUUUGGUGCUAAAUACUAAUCCCUUAAUACUUAUAUGCUCAUACUUAAGGAAAUUUACCUUAAAAUAGCAUAAGGGUUUGUAAUGAAAACCAGUUAUGCUUCUUUUUUCUUUAAACUAUGAUCAAAAUCAACAAAUAUGGAUUCCUUAUCUUAUCUUGGGAUCAAAAGAUCAAUUCUUGCUUUAAAUCUUGAUAUAAGCUUAUCAAAGAAUGCUUAAAAGCAUAAUCUUCUUGAAAUCUCAACACUUAAACUUAGGGCUUAGAAUUCAUGCUUUAAACUCAUGGUAAUUCAUACCCAAAACUUCAUGCUCAAUAUAAUUCUUGAAAUACUUCAACAAUAACAAGUCAAGAUAGUGCAAUCUCAUUCAUAACAUAAAUCUUGCAAGUUGAAAACAUAAACAUAAGCACUUCUUGAUAUACCUAAAGCUUUAAAUCUCAUGAUAAUCACAUGCUUCAAGAAUAUAUAAACUUAGGUAUAAAUCCUACUUCAAAACAAGUAAAUAGAAUCUUAAAAUCAUGCAAUUUGGGCACAAAGGGUGAAAGGAUACCCUUGUUCAUAACCCCACAUACCUUAAUAGGCUUGAUUUGAUGCAGAAGCUUGACUUUGAACUCUUGGAGAUGUUAUUGAAGGUUUUUUCUUGAAGUUCUUGGAUUAGGAACCUUAAAUUCUUGAUUGUCUUGAAGAGGAUGUAAUGGAAUUUUGGAAUUCUUGAAAUUAGUUUAGGGUUUGUUGGAGAGAAGAUUGAUGGAGAGUGGGUGUAUAAUGCUUAAACCGACAUUUAAUCUUAUGUUUUUAUGAAUUAGGGUGAUGGUAAAUGACCUAAUUGCCCCUCUGAGAACUAAAUUUUCAAUUGGAAUGCCAUUUUGAAGGCCACCGCGACGCGAUGACAUGCCCAUCGCUAUACACAGUGCGAGGCGGUGAAAUCACGUUGAGCUACUCAAAACAUAAUCCAAACAUGACCUAACCCUCGUUUGAAAAAUCCAAAAUCUCCCCAAGACAUGCUCCUUACACUCCAGAACAUGAAUUAACUCAAAAACUAUCAUAUCGGAGUCCGUAAAGUUGACUAAAAAUCCUCGAAGUUAAGAGGUCAAAAUGAGACUAUGUUCCCAACACUUAGUUUUAUUUUCAGGUUCUAAGACUCUUAUGCAAUCACUAAGAUCUGAACUGAACUAAGAACGUAUGGGGCAUUUCACAUAAUUACGUCUAUUAAGAAAAGAUUGAAACUUUAUCCAUAAUAAUCCAGAAUAAAGUCAAAAAGGCGAAACAAUCAAUAUUAACUAUUUUUUCCAACAUAAAGGAAACAACUUUACAUGCUAAAAAACAAACAUAAAAAAUGAAUUUAAACAAGGCUUGAGUACGUCUUUUAAGCAAAGAUCAAAACUUUAUCCAUAAUAAUCAAAGAAUUAAGCCAAAGAAAUACAUUCAAGUAUUGCUAGCUCAUUUUUAUACCAUAAACAUGAAAAUAGCCAUAAUAUCAAUACCACAACCUCCUAUGGUCUUCAAGCCCAUCUACAAUAAAUAAUCCCAGCUAAUAAAAUUACAACUACGAACUUUGAAGAAGAAGAUAAAUAAGAAAACAAUAAAACUAAAAGGGAAAAGGUGUGUUUACCUUUUUUGGGGCAGCAAAGUGGAACUUCAAGCUUUCUUCAGAGUCUUGAUCACCAUUGGAAAGCGAUUUUUUGAGAACCUCGAUUAGACUACCACUUGAAAAAUUUUACUAAAGAAAAGAAAUUUAACUAUUUGCUCAAAAGUUUUUUUCACUCUUUGAGACUUGGUCUUUCUACCAAAAUAGUGGUAGUAUUUACAAGAAAGGAUGGAGAUUCAAUUAUUUUUAUCCAUCAAUGUGGGAGAAAGAGUUUAAGGAUGUUUUUAAAUUUAAAACUGAGGAAAAAAUUUGUUGGAGGAUAAGGUAAGGUAGAAUUGUACAAUCUAGUACGAAUAUUGAAUUUCAAAAAUGGAAAAAGAAUAAGGUUGGGGUGAAAUUAUACAAUCUAGUACAAAUUUUGAAUUUCAAAUUUGAAUUUCAAAAAUUGAAAAAGAAUAAGGUUGCGGUGGAAUUGUACAAUCUAGUACAAAUUUUGAAAUUCAAAUUGGAAAAGGACAAGGUUGAGGUGGAAUUAUACUAUCUAGUACAAAUUUGAAAAUCAAAUUUAAAAUUUGGGAUUUAAAUGGGUAGAUUGGCUUAGGCUAUUUAUGAAAUAUCCAAAUUAAAUUGAAAUUAUUCAAUCUUAUUUAAUUUUGGCCAAUUGAGAAUCAAUUAGUCAAGUAUAUUACAAAUAUGGCCCUAAAUCAUAAUUUAGUCAAUUUUAUUCAAGUUAAAAUCAUAUUGAAAAUCAAUUGGCUAUUGUAUUGCAAUUUCAAUUUUAUUUAGAAUCGAAGCAACUUAGGAUCAAAUUUAUUCAUGGAGCAAAAAAUUAAGUAUCAACAACUGCCCCCUCCCUUUGGGUAGGGUAGAUGCAAGUAACCUUGGGCAAAGGGAGUUUGGCAUUCCUAACUUUGUUUCUGAAAGAGGUUCAUUUUCGAACGAGUUUCAUGGAGUUAUGCCAUACCCUGGUAUCGGGUUUUCAAUAUAUCUCAGGUUUCAUGAGAAUUUAGGCCACUCGUAGUUCCUAAAGCUCAAUUUUAAGCAUGGUCUUCAAGAAAUUCACGAGUUAUCCCAAUUUUUAAAUUUUAUUAAAAACCAAAAAGCUGAGAAAGAGGAGGAUUGAGGGGAGGUUGGAAUGCAAUCGAGUUUUCUACAUAGAGGCCAGCAUACAUAUCCCUGAGACUCAGCGAAUUAGACUGCUUGAGUUUGACUCAAUGGGUAGAAAAAAUGGUCUUUUAUUUCAAAAAAUCUUUGGUUUGGAAUGAGUGAGAAGUUGAUUAAGUUGUGAAAAAGAGGCUUGUAACCUAUUAACCAUGAAUAUGAGAUCCUUCACAUCCAUAGGCAAGAACUUGCCUGGAUAUAAUCUAUAAAACUCUAAGUAUGUUGUCACCCGGAUUUGAAUGAAAGAGAAGGCUACCCUCGGCAUGAGUUUAGAAAUAUCUCAAAGGUGAAGCUAAAACUAGAAUAUCCCAAAAUACCCAUAUGCCUUCUAAUAGGGGUGUGGUUUGAUGGUGGUGGCAAUUAUCCUUUAGCUCAUGUCCAAAGAGUUUGACAUCCCUCUCUAGACUUCGUCCUAUUUUGCUGCUAAGAAAGAGUUUCACGUUGUGCUGCAUUCUAUCUAGAGUCAUCCGCACUUGUGGUUUUUAUUUGAGAUUUUCAUCCUCUCGGAUGCUCUCGAUAAUGUCUCAAACAAAAAUUACUAGUGCUAAACAUAAUUCACGAAAGAGGUAUAUAGUUUUUUACUAUAUCUCUACAUGAGUUGUCGCCUAAGAAGAAAAGUCAUCCUCUCAUUUACCUGUUUGGAAGGAAAUAACUUGAAAUAACAUACACAAUAACCCUCUUGGUUGUUCCAUAAUUAGCUCAUUUGUUGAUUGACUAUGUCUUCAAAGUGGGGUGACCGUUUUAGACACCGUUGACACUUUUUGCAGAAUGGUCCCUGCAACCGUGUAACCUUAAGAUAAUGUGACACCCCUUUUGGUCACCUACAAUGCUUUUCGUAUGUGGAAUGAUAACCUCUCCGGUUAUUGACAAUGAGUCUUUGCAUGUGAACUCGAGUAAGUCUUGCGCGUCUUUUGUGUUGAUACGGCUUAUGGAUUUCCCUCAAAUUAAAAAUCUUUGGAUAAUCUUUCAUAUUAUUUGAUGUUGGAUACGAGGUAACUUACAGAUAUCCUUGGAAUUGCUAUCUUUUAGGAAACUCUGCACAUUAUCCGACCUUGGAUAAGAGAUGGCUUACAGAUAUUCCUCCAAUUGCUAGCUCUCAGGUAUUCUUGCACAUCAUCCAACGUUGGAUAUAAUAUGACUUAUAGAUAUCUCUCAUAUAGCUAGUCUUUGGGUAAUCCUGCACAUAAUCGAUCUUGGAUAUAACGCGGCUUAUAGAGAACCCUUGGAUGUAUCAAUUUGAUAAUCUCACAUAUUCUCUGGUAAGGAUUUUGUUGUGACUUAUGGAUGACCUUCAAACUAUCGAUCUUUAGGUAACCUUGCACACUAUCCGGUUAGGAUAUUGUUGCGGCUUACGUAUGAAAGAUGGACUAUCAACUCAUAGGUAAUCUUGCACACUAUCCUAUUUCAAAUAAUAUGACUUAUAGAUAACCCUCAAAUUGUUAAUUUUAGGAAUCUCAUAUGUCGUUCGCUUUCAGAUAGCGACUUAAAGAUGUCCCUUCGAAUUUCGUGUUUUUGAUACAUUUAAUUAAUUAUUCAAAAAAUUAUGAGAUAUCCUCAACUUUGAUCUAUAUAGUCUUUAUGUGGUUAAAGAAUAUUGGUGUUCCAAAGCAUCUUCCAAUGCCAUACCUAAUCGUCUUACAAUACGAGCAAUUAUGGAGACUUAGUUGAAUGGCAUGAUGGCCCCCUUGGCUAUGAAAUAAUAUAUAAUGGCCCUUUUGGCAUGGAUAAUGGAAUGAAAUAAAAUGGCCCUCUAGGUAAUGGCAUGAAAUAGCCCUCUCGGCAAUGGCAUGAAAAGACAUAGCCCUCUUGGUGAUGAUAUGAACUUUCCCUCUCAAAAAUGGCAUGAAAUGAAAUAUCCCUCUCGACAAUGGCAUGAAAUGAUGCUCUCGGCGCUAAUAUGAAAUGGCCCUCUCGGCGAAGAUAUAAAAUGGCUCUCUCGGUGAUGAUAUGAAAUGGCUCUCCCAGCAAUGGCAUAAAAUGGCCCUCUCGAUAAUGGCAUAAAAUGACCCUCUUAGUGAUGAUAUGAAAUGGUCCUCUUGGAAAUGGCAUGAAAUAAAAUAGCCCUCUCGGCAAUGACAUGAAAUGGCUUUCUCGGCGAUGAAAAAUUUAACAUAAGUUUGUUUGUUUGUAUUUUUGCUUUCUACACGUACCGUUUUCUUUGCUUCAAGGCAAAUUUUGUGGAUGACUUUCUUUCUCUUUCUUAUCUUAGUAAAUCCUUUUAUUGUGGCCUUAUAGGGACAUCUUUUUUUAUCGUACCUGCGCUCAAAGUAAAUAUUUGGUAGACACAAAGUUGCCUUUUACUAGCGACUAUUUUUAGAAAAAUACAAUAUUCAUAAGGAAGAUAAGGCGCCUUUGUUUGUCCUUCACGGUCUUAAGAAAUGAGAUAGAUAAUUCAGAAGGUUCUGAAUAAAUAGGUAUUAAACCCGUCUUUGGGGCUACCCAAAAAUACCGCCCUUGAGCAUUAUAUGCUUUGGUGUGGCUCCCAACUCACUCGUGGAUUUUUGAAAAAGAUUUCCAUUUCUGUGUAUUGGUCCCUGCAUCCACAGAAAAAUGAUUAGUUUUGAGUGAAACUACUCCAUGUUGACCUCCUUCAUUCCUCGGUUUGCUCCUUGCCAUCUUUUGAUGUGCUCUGUCAUGUUGGUACUUCCACCCUGACUCACUUUCCAAUACAGUCCUAGGCAAUCACUAAGUAAAAAUAUUCGUAUAGAUUUUCGAAAGUAGUCUUAAUUUUUAGAAACUAGUUUCAAAAACUUCUGUAAAAGCUUUAGAAAAUCUCCACUAGUCAUGUCAUGUGCUAGCUCAAAAAAGUCUUCUUUCUGAGGUUCAACUAUGUUCGACAUCCAACAGAGGAUUUUCAAAAUUCAAAUAUUAUUACUAGAGAGUUCUUCAAAAAGUCUUGUCAUAGCAAAAGAUUUAGUCUAUCUAAACUUUGUCACAGUUACUGAUUUCUAAAGCUUGACUUUGACCUCUGGUGUUGGGGGAUUUGAAAUAUAUUCAAAUAUAUUAAUGGAAAUUUUGAGGACCUCCUCAAAAUUCCUACCCUAGUUUAAUAUUAUUUGAGAUGAUCUUAGCUUAAAAGGAUCUGUAGUCUUCGCAGGUCUUCAUCUUUUUUUUCGGAUGAUGAUCUUCCUCUUGUGAAUUUUUUAGAUUUCUUCUAAGAAAUUAUGGCUCAAUUUCCAUUUCUUGGUGUUAUAUGACCGAGCCAUUGGGGCGCCUACGUAUCCCGUUGAAGUAGGAAUCAGGUCAAAUGUAGUUAAGGGUUACGCUUAGGAUAUAUAGAAAAAUCUAAAAGGUUGACUAAAGCCGACAUAGGCCCUACAUAUCCCCUUCUUGGGAAUUCAGGUCAUCACGUUGUUCAUACAUAAAAGAAAAGGAUAGGUUCUCCUAAAGGAUUGACCGAAGCCGACAUUGGCCGCCUACGUAUACCUUCCUUGAGAAUUCAGGUCAAACAUUGUUCGUACAUAAAAGGAAAGGGAUUCUAGGCAAUUACACAUCAUAGAAACAAAUACUAUCAUAAAGGCGAUUACAAAUAAACCAAGGAAACAAAAACAAAAAAACAACUUUCAAACAUAGUAUGUCUUUACCGCAUCAAAAUUGAUUGGUUUGGUCCACUCUUGACUAUCCAUCUUAGAUAGGAUCAGGGCUCCUCCAGAUAGCACCUUCCGAACUAUAUAUGUUACUUGCCAAUUCAGAGCAAACUUACCUUUGUACUCCUUUUGGUGAGUAAAUAUGCGUUUGAGAACCAAUUUCCUAACUUUAAAUAUUCGAGUUCUUACUUUCUUAUUGAAGGCACGGAUCAUCCUGUGUUGAUACAACUGACCAUGACACAAGGCAACCAUUCUCUUCUCGUCAAUCAGCAUGAGUUGUUCAUAAUGAGCGCGAACCCAUUCUUCUUUACUUAAUUCAGCUUUUUGUAUAAUAUUUAAGGAAGGUAUUUCAACCUCGGCAGGUAUUACAACUUUAUUCCCAUAAAUAAGCAGAUAAGGGGUUUCCUUAAUUGAGGUUCGAACUGUUGUAUGAUACCCUAGAAAAGCAUAAGGCAAUAUUUCAUGCCAUGAUCUAUCAUUUUUGAACAUCUUUCUCAAAUUCUUCCUGAUGUUCUUGCUGGCGGCAUCCAUGGCUCCAUUCAUCUGUAGAUGAUAUGCAGUCAGUUGUGAUGAUCAAUCUUGAACUGAUCACAAAUCUCAUUCAUCAAGUGACUUUUUAAAUUAGCCCCAUUAUCAGUAAUGAUCGAUUCUGGCACUCCAAAUUGGUAAAGAAAUUUAUUCUUAACAAAAUCGACAACCACCUUCUUGGUGACGACUCUAUAUGAAGUAACUUCGACCCACUUAAUGAAGUAAUCAAUAGCAACAAAAAUGAAUCUAUGCCCAUUCGACGCUGGUAGAUCUAUUGGUCCGAUAACAUCCAUACCCCAAGCUACAAAAGACGAAGGUGAACUCAUCAUAUAAAGCUUAUGUGGAGGCAUUCAAAUCAAAUCCCCAUGUAUCUGGCAUUUUGGGAACUUCUGCACAUACUUGCUACAGUCAUUUUCCAUAGUAAUCCAGAAGUAACCAGUUCUCAAAAGUUUUCUAGCAAGGGUAAAUCCAUUCACGUGGGACCCACAGAUUCCAGCAUGUACUUUCUUUAUUAAUUUCAUGGCUUCUGCGGCAUCGACACAUCUUAAGAAUCCUAAGUUUGGAGUCCUCCUAAAAAGGAUUUCCCCACUUGGAAAAUAAUUCUUUGCUAAAUGUCAGAUUGUCUUUUUCUUUUUGUUGAUGGCCUCUUCAGGAUAUAUUCCAGAUUCUAAAUACCUUUUAAUAUCAUAGUACCAUGAUUUUUCAUCAGGCUCCUUUUCGACUGCGCAUAAUAUUCAGGUUGUUCCUUCAAGUUUAUUUCUAAAGGAUCAAUGUAACUCUGUUCUGGGUGAUGAAUUAUGGAGGAUAUAGUAGCCAAAGCAUUAGCAAAGUCAUUUUGUAUCCUCGGGAUAUGUCUGAAAUCAACUUUCUUGAAUCUUCCACACAAAUACUGCACCAGCUCUACAUAAUAAGUGAUCUUAAAAUUAUUUACCACCCAUUCCCCCUAUACUUGGUGAAUCAGCAAAUCUAAGUCUCUGAUGACUAUCAAUUCACGAACACCCAUAUCAAGUGCUAACUUGAGGUCUAGAAUGCAAGCCUCAUAUUCAGUUGACCGCUCCAUCAAAGAACAAUCUCCAUCCGGGGUAGAUCUCUGCAAUGUCCUCUCUCACGAAUAAAAUCUCCUCAUCUAGGAAGUAAGUUCGAAAUGUAUUUUACUCAUCAUCAAUCGGAUUCUCAGUUAAAUGAUCUGCUAAGGUUUGCCCUUUGAUUGGCUUUUGAGUUGCAUACAUAAUAUCGAACUCACUCAGCAAUAUUUGCCACUUAGCUAACUUUCCUGUGGGCAUGGAUUUUGGAAAUAUAUACUUCAAUAGAUCCAUUCUGGAAAUAUGUACAAGGAUAGAUAAUUCCUCAACUUUGGUAUGGCCCAAGUCAAAGCACAAUACAUCCUUUCUACAAGAGUGUAGUGAGCCUCAUAGGGCGUAAACUUUUUACUAAAGUAGUAGAUUACUUUCUCUUUCUUACCAGUCUCAUCAUGUUUCCCGAGGCCACACCCGAAAGCAUUUUAUGAGACUAUCAGGUAAAUAAACAAUGGACUUUUUUCCCUUGGUGGAACCAAAACAAGCAGAGCGAUAAAUAUUUCUUGAUUCUGUCAAAAGCUUUAUUACAUUCUUCUGUCCAAUCAUUCAAUGCAUCUUUCUUCAACAUCUUGAGAAUUGCAUCAUAUAGGACUGUUGAUUGGGCAAUGAACCUGCUAAUGUAAUUCAAAUAACCCAAGAAACUCAUAACCUCUUUCUUAGUCCUUCACAGCGGUCAGUCCUAAAUUAUCUUAAUUUUGGAUGGGUCUAGCUCGAUGCCCCUUCUACUGACUAUGAACCCUAGUAAUUUUUUAGCUGGCACACCAAAAGCAUACUUUGCAGGAUUCAAUUUCAAGUUGUACAUUCUCAACCAGUUGAAUAACUUUUCUAGGUGUAUCAGAUGAUCCAAACUCUUGCGAGAUUUGAUGAUUACAUCAUCCAUGUAUACCUUAAUCUCUCCAUGUAUCAUAUCAUGAAAGAUCGUAGUCAUAGCCCUUAUGUAUGUUGCACCAGCAUUCUUAAGACCAAAUGGCAUUACCCGAUAAUGAUAAACUCCCCAGGGGUAAUAAAAGUCGUCUUUUUUGUAUAUCUCUCAUCCAUUAAUAUCUUAUGAUACCCAACAAAAUAAUCCAUGAAAAACUGCAUUUCAUGCUUCACAAUUGUUGAUGAGGAUGUGGAUGUUGGGUAACAAAAAAUUAUCUUUAGGACUUGCUCUAUACAAAUCUCUGUAGUCAACAUAAUUUUUGAUCUUGCCAUCCUUUUUUGGAACGGAACUGGAACUAUAUUAUCUAGCCAUGUCAGAUGUCUUGUGACCUCUACAACCUUUGGUUCGUCACUUCUUUCUUGAUCUUCAAACUUAGGCCCGACUUGAAUUUCUAAAUUUUUUGCUUAACUGGUUAAACUUGGGAUUAAUUGAUAACUUGUGUGAUACGAUGUUGGUGCUAAAUCCUGACACAUCAUUGUAGGACCAAGAAAAUAAGUCAAUGCACUCCCGUAGAAAGCGAAUAAGUUCCCUUAUUUGUGUUUCUGCUAAGUAAACACUAAUACCCGUCUCUUUGAUUUCAUCGCGGUCUCCCAGGUUGACUAUUUUAGUUUUUUUCCACGUUUACAUUUCUCUCUAUUUUCAAAUUCUUCUAUAUCUUUCACUAACCGCUCCUCAUCAUGGUCUUCUAUUCAUCUCCAUUCAUCUCGCUUUGUUUAUUUGGCCCUUGAAAUGAUAUGACAUCAGCAGGUUUUAAAUUAUAGUUACCCAACGAGCGACAAGUCACGAGUGGAGUAGAGGUUCAAUUCAACAAUGUUUCCUCCAAUUCAUCUUCCAUGAUUCCAGCUGUCUUAAAAAAGUCUUCCAUGGUAGCACAACAUUUUUCCCUAUUCCAUCCUCUAGACCAUCACUUAUAGGUUUUGAAAAAAUGACUGGUAGAGUUCAACCUUACUACUAAUCAUUUUUUAUUUCCUGUAAAAAAGCUAUAUUCAAGAGAGGAAUCUUUAUUCACUUUGAUCUAAUGAAGUAGGGUCAUUUUAUGCCAACAUAGAGUAGUUUCUAUUACCUACAAAGUAAAAGCAACUCAAAGGCUGAUGUGUUAGAUUUCAUUACUAAUAAGAAAAUCAAGAUGAUAAGGUAGGAAGUAAACACAUAAAGUUAUUUCUCAUCUCAUGCCAAUUGAUCCAUCGAGUAAUAAUGACUCGAGAAUUUCAAUGAACAUGAUUUUGCUCAAUGAUAUGGAUAAGUGAAUUUUAUCAGGAAGGUUCAAUUCUUCGUAUUUCUAACCUUAUUUCUUCUUUCAAGAAAGUGGAGGACAACAGAGUUUCUGAAGAUAGGGGUUGGGCCAAAAGGCUACCAACGUAUCUCAUGGAGGAGAAAUCAGGCCCUACAUAGUUUGAACCUAUAAUGGUUUCUUUUAAUUCUAUAGUCAACUUUUCUAAAAUGGUAGCGAGCAUUUUAAAGUUUUAAGAAUGACUGUGGAAUUUUCUAAGAGACUUGGGAAACUUGGAAUAUAUUUGGUCGAACUUUUGUAUAGUGGGGUACAUUUCUUCCUAGAGAUGCUCUAUGAAAAAUGGGACUUGGGCAAUUUGCCUUUGAUUCAAAUCAACAUAACACGUAUAAGCACAUAAAUAAUUAUAUCACACAAGCAUAUUGUAAUAAACGCGCAUCCUAAUUGGGUGACCCUUUUAAGCCAAGGGUUGGCCUAAUGCAUUUGAAGAAAGUAGAUACCUUUUAAAACCAAUCCAUUAUCCCCAAAAACCUCCUUAAGUAUAUAAAAGGCAUAAAUUCUUAUAAAAUUUGCACAAAAGGGAUACAAUCUUUAGGACAAAGGAGAAUAACAUAAGAAAAAGAACAAUGUCCCACGCAGGGGGUAGUAGCUCCUAGAUCGGCCUUCGUCUUCUUAGCUUUGUCCAUUUCAUGUCAUAUUCGACAUAUGUUGAUGAUGAAGUGAUUCCUGUAUAACUGUGUUCUAUACUCAUAAGUCAUUAUUCUGGGAAAUCAUGCAAUCGUCCAAAUCGAUCAAUCAUCAACCUCUUUCUUGGCUCGCUUUAAUUUUUCCCUCAAUUGAUGGAUGAUUGAGUCAUCUUACAAGAAAGCAAGCAAAGUAAGCCUUUUCCUUACUCCCAAAGAAUAAUGGAUUGUAUUAAAUAAGAUAUAUUUCUUCAACACAAAAAUAUGAUUCGUCUUUAAUUGACUCAUGGCCAAUAGAUACAGGGUAGGUUUUCUAAUGGGCCUAAUACCCCCUCGGGUAUUAGGUCUUCCUAGGUUCAUGCCUAAAAAGAGGAUUUUGGUUUAGCUCUAUGCUGGAUGUCUAUAACGUGUUUGGACAAAGGUUUCCAAGGGGACAACUUGGGUUUGAAAAUACAAACAACCUUCGACCGCCUAACGUGUCAGUAGAUCGUCGUAUUCCCAACACUUGAUUUGGAGUUGAUCAACAGGGGUCGAAGACAUCCACAAAACCCCAAAACAAUUUAAUAAUAAUCAUGCGAGAUUAUGCCAUGAAAUGCAAUAGUUAAAUUUCCCAGCAUUUAAACAUACAAACAUAUAAACAGUUUAAUAAUUAGUCAAAGAAGCUAAUUCAAAUAUUUGGUUAGAACCUAGUUAAAGUUCCCCAGCAGAGUCGUCAUUUUUGUUUUGCCUUUUUUUGAUUUCGAAAGGUUGGAAAAUAUUUAGAUUCGACUAUUUAAACCAUUUCAAAACUUUAAGAAAAAUUUUAAAAUAAUUUGAGAAAUUACAGAGUCAACAUUUGAUUUUUGAGAAAAUGUCAAGAAAAACUAAAAAUAUGACUAAAAAGAUUCAAAACAGAAAAAAACUUAUAAGUUUAGAAAUUUUGAGAAAGUGUUUCCAAUUAAUACUCUUGGAACGUUGUUAACACACCAAGAGUAUUCGCUAACUUGCGGUUAUCUAGACUAUUUGCAAACAACUUUUGACUAAUUUUAAAAGAAAAAGUUGAUUUUUGAAAAGAAAUUAAUUAAGACAAAAUUUUGUUUUCAAGAUUUGUGCAAAAUAAGGUUUGACGACUUAGCGGGAAUUUUACUAAGCGAGAAUUUUUAACUAAGUCUAAGAAAACUAAAAAUAAUUAGCAUAUAAAGGUGGAAGGGAAGACUAAAAAACUUAGGCCAUUGGGCCCAACUCCACAAACCCUUGUUGACACCUAAUUUUUUUCCUCCACGAUCAAGUUUAAUUUUGAGUUUCUUUCAUCUUAAAUAAAAUUACAAUAUUUACUUUAUCUGAGUAAUAAUAAUAAUAUAGUAAUAAAAAUUUCAAAAUAUUUAUGUACGUAAUUUUGUCAUUUUGAGUAACGAUUAUAAAUUUUCAUAUUUUACGAGAUUGUAUAAUUUUGUUACUUAAAUAAUUAUUUUUAUGAAAAUUGAAUUUUAAUCGAGAACUAUCUUGGAAAUUAAUUUAAAUGGGCAAAGUAUUGAUUUAAAUAUAAUUUAUUCUCAAAAAUAAUUUAUUUGAAAAAAUAUAUGUUUGAUUUUACUAAACAAGAAACUCGGGUUUAAAUUAGUUGAUAAUUCAUACAAUUUAGUAAUUUUAUUAAAUUUGAUUUUAAUUGAAAUCAACUUGGCCGUAAUUGCAAUGCAAUUGGCCAAUUGUUUUCAACAUGGUUAAAAUUUAAACAAAAUUGACUAAAAUUCUGACCUAGGACUAUUUAUUGAAUAAUCUAACUCCUAAAACUAGCCCAUCCCUUUUAAUUUUCAGCCCAGACUGCCAACCCCUUUUUUCCUUUUUAAUUAAUUGGGCCUCCAUCCUAAAAUUUGCACUCGGCCCAACAGCUCCACUCCCCUUCUUUUACCCCAAUCCACCUAACAACAACACUAUCAGCCAUUGGCCCAAAAAAAUUAUAACCUAACCCGGCCCAUACACCUUUUUUAAACCCAUUCUCCUUACAAAAUAACUACAGCCAAAAAAAGCAACAAUUUCAACGCAAAACACCAACCAAAAUCCACCAACCGACCCCUAUUCGUAUAACACUGUACAAUAUCAACAACGACUAUUUCAUCAACCACCAAUAAUGACUUCAACAAGCAGACGAAAUUUUCAACCUUCAACAAUACAACAUUGGCAAAAAACAGCUCAUCAACCUCAUCUCAAUUUUUCAAAUUCAAAUCUCAAUUCGUUUUCCCUUUUUAACCCUCUGCUUUCCCCAAAAAUAACCCCAAAUUCUUCGAUAAAUACUCACCUAUGUAGAGAGAAAAGGAGGAGGAUUUUUGGGAAAAAAUUUGAGAAUUCGAGAGGCACGUGCUUCUAAUCCUACAUAACCAAAAAUUCUCGAAGAAACGGACUGAAGAGUUCGAUUUCAACAAAAAUUAAACUCCAAAUUUAGUGUUGAAAGUUUCUUCGUCAAGGCUCGUCGUCGAGUUCGCUGCUUUUUCGGUGAACCCUUCUCUUUUGACUUUCAUCACUGUUUGUAUCAUAGUAUUUUUUUCUUUUCUUUUUUUCGUGUAAUAUGGUCACUAUGUUGUUGUUGUUGGAAUCUCACUAAGUGAGAAUGUUCGAAUUUGUUGCUGUAGAAAUUUAAGAUUUUACUGUGUAUUCAACCUCACUUUAUUUGAAAACUAAAUGGUAUAAAUUGAUAUUUGAUAAGUACUUUAUAAAUAUUUAUAAUGAAAUUUAGUGAAAGAAUCCAAUCGAAAAUGUUUAGGUUACUGUUUUGUUAUUAGAAUUAUGAUUUUGUUUAAUUUGUGUUGAUAAUUCGAGAGGUACGAGUAAAUUUUUAGCAAUUUAGUUAAAGGGUGAAAAUUGGAGGUUCUUGUAAUGUUUUAUUGUGAUUGAGCAGUGUAAUUUGUUAACUCAAGAAUAUAAAUUGCUCCCGAGAACUAAGGGAAAAAAUUUAGCUUUAGGAUAUAUAGAAAAACACGAAUUCAUGCUAUUUCGUCUGAAUAUAUGUAGUAAUUGUUAUUUGAGAAUCAUGUUCACUUGCUUAGAUUUAUUUUGUACAUCUGUAUACCUCCCUCCCUCGUACUACUAUUUUGAUAUAUGCUAUGAGUUUAAUAACAUAUUCAAUAUACUCUCACCAAUUAAACCAUGUUUUAUGAUGUUUUUAGUAUGAUAAUGAUGAUUGAUUUGUUGGUAAGCUGCAAGCAGGUAAUAUAUAUAUAUAUACACACAAGUUGUAGUUUACUUGAAUUUUUGGGCUCUCCACAACUGUGUCUUGAUUGUUUGACUAACACGAUUCUCUUCUUUUUUUUUUUAAAUAAAAAAAAUAAAUAAUUUUAUAUAUUUGGUGGCUGCAAGUGGAAAGUACUUAAUACAAAAGAUUUAGGUACUUUAUAGGCACCCUUGUCAUAUUGAGUGUUUACAAAUGAUUGUUUUGAUUUGAUUAGUUUAUAAUCAAUUGAUAUAUAAUUCUUUACCUUUUUAUAUGCAUGAACCCC